GACUUGUUCUUUUGUAUGGAUUUUUUUUUUUAAAAAAAAAGGAAAAACUUCAAAAAACAUCUUGUAGUUUUAAUUUUUUUCACUUUAACAUCUUGUGGUUUAAAAUGCAUUAAAUUAGUACUAUGUGGUUUUUUCACUUUAUCACUUUAGUACUCUGUGGUUUAAAGUAUAUCAAGUUAGUAUCCUGUGGUUUUGUACUUUAUGACUUUAGUACUCUGUGGUUUUAAUUUUGUAUCAAGUUAGUACUCUGUGGUUUUUUAAAUCACAAGAUACUAAAGUGAUAAAGUGUGAAACCACAAGUACUAAAGUGAUAAAGUGCAAAACCACAGGGUACUAAUUUGAUACACUUUAAACCACAUAGUACUAAAGUGAUAAAGUGAGAAACUACAGGAUACUAACUUGAUAUACUUUAAAUCACAUGGUACUAAAAUGAAAAAGCGUGAAACCACGGGAGGAAUUUUUGAAGUUUUUUCAAAAAAAAAUUGACCAUAUUAAUAUAUUAAUAGAUUAAAAAAUUAAAAAUAAUUAAUUUUCUUUUAAUGAAAACCAUCGUAUGUUUCUUCAACCACAAUCAUGAUUAUCAUUUCAUUAGUGUUGAAUUAAAGAGCUUUCUAACGAAGGAUGCAAUAAAAGUUGAAGAUCUUUUCUUGAUUCUUACCGAAUGAAAUCGUAAAUGAGAAUUAUGACUAAUAAAAAAGAUAUUCUGAAUCUGUCUCUACCUGCUAAGAAAUGAAACAAGAGACGAGAAAUAUUUUUUCUUUUGAUCCAUUAUAAUUUGUAAAAUAUUCGUUGAAAAUUUGCUCUCAUCUCGAUCCAUCCUAAAUAAAAUAAUAAUUAAGAGUAAAAAAUAAAAAAAAAAUAAAUAUAAUCAAUCUCCAAUCUAUUCGAUCCUUCUGAAAAAACGGGGCAAAAAGUCGAGAGCCCUUCCGCACGGGGAUCCACCCCUUUCGCAUCCUUAUUUUUAACACUUGUGAAUUUCAAUUCGUAUCUAAUUAGACAAUAUAAUCCCUUGAAAUUAUGCCAAGCGAUUAUGACACCUCUCUCUCUCUCUCUCUCUCUCUCUCUCUCUCUCUCAAGUAUUUAAUAUUAAGAAAAUCAUUUUAUAUUGGAAUAAUAACGUUUCAUAAAAAAAAUAUUAUUUCUCACGAACGUAUAAGAACAAUUCUUUCAAUAUCAUCUUAACACACAAAUUAGUUUGAAAGACCAAACUCUCAGCCUGGUCUUAUUCCAUACUUGUGUUUUGAAAAGACUGUUCGGCGUUAUUUAGAAAUACGGGAAGAUUAUAUUACGUGCAGUGCAAAACUACGAUAGAAAAAUUCUUUAUACAUUUCCGUACGUAAUAUUAUGGUCUGCAUAUCGCGAUGGAUCGAUUAUGAUAUAUUUUCUACGAUUCUAUCGAAAAACAUAAAAAUAUAUCUCUAUAUAUUUUUAUUUUAAUUUUAUCUUAUCCAAUAACGCCGGAUAGGUCUUGAUACCAAGCUAAGUCUUAUUCGUGUUCAACCAUCCCCAGGUCUGGUCUGGUUCAGCACACUGUUUUGUGUUGUCAAAUUGUUGGACAUUUCUGGCAGUCCAAUUUCACAUCGACAUCGUACAGUGGUGCAGGAUUUUUGCCAGCCCAAAAUCCGGGGGGAAUGGGAUUAAAAGUUGAUCCCUGGAGAUGAUGUGAUUGUAGAAUGGCCUCCCAUUGGACCCAUUCCCAUAUAUGUAAGUUGGAGGAAUCUUUACCUGUUUUUGCGUUUAGUAUUUGAAGAAGAAAAUAAAUUCUAUUAGUAGGAACACGAAUAAUUAAUCAAAUACUAAUAUUUUGUCCAAAAAUAGAUGAACAAACAAAAUUGUUCGUUGGACAAUUUUUCGUCUAGAUAUCACAAUAUUAUCCAUAAUAUAGAUCUUAUAUAACUCUAUACAAAUCAAUACAAUUAAAAAAAAACUGAACCGUGCAAAAAUUGCUUUUUUGUACUGACCUUCGUGCUCUGUGCAAAAAUUACCACUGCGUGCAUAAUAGAAGGAGCGAGAUAAUUGUUCUAAGUUCAAUUAAAUUCAAUGAUUAGCUUGUGCAAACACCAUAUAUGAUCAGAAAUUUUUGAAUGGUUAAAUGGACACCGUUUAGAUUUAGUGGAAUAUAUAAAAUUUCAGCGCAACGCUCUCUAACGACGCCUCGUUGAGGAACCUUCAAUCCGCUGCCGCGUGUUAAUUUUGUACGUAUUCUAUAAUUCGUUCAGUAUCUUUUGAUACUAAAAUAAAAAAUAAAUAAAAUCUUAGAAAAAAUUAUAAUUUUUUAAUAGGGGAUAAAAAUGACAUGUAGCAACGAGUCUCCUUAACGAUUUUUUUUUUUUCCUAGCAGAAUUAAACACCAAAACAGCUCUUCUAUUUCCGAAAUCAGUAAUCAAGAUCUAAACAAUUUUUUUUUAAAAAAAAAUUUCUAAAGUUAUCACAAAAUAGAAAAUUUGCAGAAAAAUGGAGGCUACCGUUUGGUUCGGAAUUAAGAAAAAACUAGUUAUUCCAUAGAUAGGAUUAAGUUUAGGGUUAAGGUGGGGUUAGAGUAUUUUUGUGUUUGGUUGGGGGUUGGAGUUAGUUCAGGAUAGUGAAAAAUAGUGUUUGGUUGGAGUAGGUGGGAUAAGAAGGAUAGUGGGUUAUUAUGAAUAGAAAAUAGUAUUUGAUUGGAGUUUGAUAGAAUUAGGUGAGGUUAGAUGGGAUUAGCUAACCCGGGAUAAUUCAUUUGAGGUGGAAUUAGCUAACCUCAUCUAUUUUUUAAAAUGUUUGGGAAUAAAAUGGAGGUUCAGAAACGCGUUGAUUGCGGGAGUCUUGCUUAAAAAUGUGGAGGAAAGGAAAGAAGAAAAUUUGAAGAUCAAUUUCUUUGAUUGGCUGAAAAGUGUCGCCUAAAAAGGAGAAAAUUAUUGUCAGCAAUUGUUGGCCGAAGCAAUGGAAACGAGGGGCGCGGUCCAGCUGUUUCCGUCCCGCUUUAUUAGCUUUAGUUUAUUCCGACACACCGUAACAAACACCCCCCCUUGUCACGCUAUUUCCCCCCUUUCUGGUGAAUACCUUUAUCCUCGUGAUGUCUCCGCCAUUUUGUUUUAGUAAGUGAUAAUACAAUACGUCGAGUAAAUCGUACUGAUUUGAUUGAGAUAUUAUUUUUACAGUGUGAGAAGUACAUUUUUAUAAAAAAUUUUUUUUAAAAAAAUUGAAACUACAUAUUUUAUUUAUUUUUUAAAAAUAAACUCAACUAGAAAUAUAAAACAGUAACUUAGAUCUCUGAUGCAACUUUUUUUUUUUAACAACAAUAGCAUUAGGCAAUCCUCGACACCAAAUGGACGUUGAGCCUGACGACGGGCUAGUCGGAAAUGGGCUUUUAUUUGUCGAUUUGGGCCAAAUUAAGUUUUAUUACUGAUAAUGCAUCGAAACCGAGCCCGUUCCAGAACCGCAUGGGCCCUUAUGUAUAGUUAUGAGCUUCACAGCGAUUUUUCAUAGCCACGCGUAAAGCUCCAAGCAAUUUUAGAAUAAAUUUUCUAUUCCAAAAAUAAUAAACGAUAGUUAGUUAAGGGCUUGACGGUUGAAAUUUUGAUAUUGCAAAUUCGAAUCCUUAUUGCUUUACAUUUCUAACUAAGUUUAUUUAUACCACCACUCUGAAAGCUACUUUUUAACUAUUAAUUCAUCCACAGCAUACCGACCGUCCCUAGAACAAGUGACGAAGGGUUUGGUGGUUGGUACCCGAGAUCCCAAGUUCGAAUCCUAAUUGCUUCAUAUUUCCAGCUAAGUUUAUUUCUAACAAAAAUAAACGAAACAGGUAGCGUGCUAUCUAUCUCAAAAUAAUAAUAAAAAAAAAAUCAUCCACAGCAUGCCAUUCAUUGUAGAUAAUGCAUUACACUUUAUUAAGACCUUCAAUUUUUGAUCAUGAAUGCUUCUAGCACACUCUCCCUCCUAGCUGAAGCAUCAUUGUAGAUUUUGAGGAAAUCUUUGAAGAGGAAGGAUUUGUAGAGCAGAGGGUUUCGCUCGUCGAUCAGUGAUUGAGCUGGCUCGAUCCGGCUAUCCAUGGCUGGCAUGACGAACGUGGCGAUCGAAGUCCGCGACGCAACCGAGUUUGUCACGGCUCGAUGCUCGACACUCUUCAGCAAUCCAUUUGUAAUUAUCUGCGCAAAUAAGGCAUAACAAAAGAAGAAUUUCAGAAAUUUUAAGUACUAAAACAACAAACUGGAGAUGUCAAUGGAGGACGGAUGAAUACAAAGAAUACAAAGAUUUAUCGACUUAAAGAAAAAGAUUCUACCAUUUUACUCGGAAAUUAUCAAUUCUAUAGUCGAAAUGGACGAAUUACAAGAUAAAGUUUAGGAGAUUAACCUCUAAUUGGUGUCCGAAAUUAACAACCAAAGCACUCCGAAUCGACUCGACUCCAAUCCAACUCCCUUUGUGCAUGAUCUGAAGACCAGAAACGGUCCCAGGAAGAAGCAGGGUGAUGACAUUUCGAUCACAAUGCGGCGGCAAACCAAGUGUUAAACUUGGAUCCGGGCACGGCGCAUAAUAGUUCACAUUUAUAAGGACUUGACCCCCAGUGAGAUCUCCAUCAAAAUAGUCCUCCUUGAGGCCUAGUCCUUCACAAAUAAGCUUCAAGAGCUUCAUAGCAACCCCUCUAGCCUCUACUAUGAAUUUUGCAAGAACUUCCCUGUGCAUAUACAAACACUAUUUACACAACAUCUCAACCAACUAUAAAUGAAAGAUUUUCAGUAUAGUACUUGCUAUUAUAAAGAUUUAGAGUUUAGAAGAGGGAUCUUGCCAUAAAAAAAAGGAUUAGACAACAAUUUUCUAAAUUUUCUAAAUUUUCCAAAAUGCCCCACCGGCUUCAUUCUUUCUGACUUUCUCCUCUGCUAGAUGCAAGACCAACAUCACAAUCUAUCCAAACUUCAGAUAAUUUGAUUGAAAAUAUGAAAUGUGACAGGAAGAAAUGGCCGUGAAGUACAAGGAUGUUGUCGGGUGCAGGCGAGAACUUUCCUAGGGCUAAAGUAUUGAACUUAAAUUUUCAAAAAGGUUAUGUAAGUUCAUAUUCAUAUAGCCGUUUGUGACCGCCUAUAGUUCAGAUAAUCUCUGUAAUUGGUACUGGAAAAAAGAUAAACAAAUUCUAUUAUUGUAAGUUGCGAAACUUGGAGAAUGAAAGUCUGAACAAGAUGAGCUGGUCAGUUACUUGAGAUUACUCGGCUUUUCAGGCCAUUCAUGUAUGGUCUCCUCCACAGGGUAACAAGCAAGUUUCAAGCAAUCCCUCCAGUAAUAAGUUCCAUCUUUUCCAUACAUGGUGCUUGCGAAAAGCCUGUUAUUUUUACUCGUAUCCUCCGAAUAAUACGCAGCUUUAUCCUCGAUCGGAAUCUUAAAGAACUCCUCCGCGACAGCCAUCAUUUCAUCGAGCACUUGGUCUGCAACACCAUGGUUGAUAACCUGUACUAGUAUCAAUCAACAAAGGUAUAUGCCAUCACUUUAAUCAUAAAAGAAAAUAUUAGGGUCUAUUCAGAAAGAGGCUAUAACUGAGUAACUGAGGGGGUUUCCAUACAAUUUAACCGACAAAUAACUGAUAGAAAGAUCUUAGGGGCUGUUUGGUUGCGUGAAUUGUUGUUAAUGCGCGACGAAAUCUAUUAUUUGGAUUGAUUAGUUAGAAUCAAAUUGCUACAAUUGACACUGCAAAAGAAGAUUCAACUGCAGCAAAUGGAACCAGUUUCAACUACGCAGCAGUUGAAAUGAAUAAUUUUUGCAUUAAAAGUGCGAUUCCGAUCACCUCUUAUUAAAGACUCAAAAACACGCACUCAAAAAAAUAAAUAAAUAAUCCUAAAUAGUGGUAAAAUUUGCCAUCCCAUUAAUAAAAGAAUAAGAUUUGUAUGCAAUCAAGCAAAAAUAAAUUUACAACUGCAGCACUAUUAACUACGUGAAACUAAUAAAUAAAACAAAUGCAAUUACAAUUACUAUGAAUCUGGGAGGGGUGAGUUGAACGAAGAAGAUGAAAACCCAAACCCACCUGGAAGAAGCCGAAUUCUUUACCAGCCUCGACGAUUUGCUCGACGAUCUCACCAUGGCCGUCGCCGUGGAGCUCGCCGCCGCGGAGAUCGAUCACGGGGAGGGAGACAGAGGAAGCGGCCUCCUUUCCCGGGCGCUUUUCCGGGGGGAAUAUGAAACGCUCGGGCACCGAUCGGUGUUCGGGGCCAUUGGAGAGGAGCAUCUCCAUUUGCGCAGCUCAGGUGCUUGUGGAAAUGCUUAGCUGAGGGUGUGGUAUUAUGAAAAGUUUGGGAAAAGGGAAGGGGCCCGGUUGACCUAAGCGGAAUUGGGAAGAGCAAGGAUGUUUAAUUACUCUCUCCGCCUGCUCCACGUGAAAGCCAUUUGCAGAGUAAUUGAAAACAAUAAAAUUAUUUUUCAAGCUAAAAAAAAAUAAGAAGAAAAAUAAUUUUAUAUAAGAUGACAACGUUUAUGCAGAGAAAAAUUUCUUCCGGUGAUUCGUCUUCCAUCUCAUCUCUGCGAUGUCGUCUCAAAUUGGACCACCGUCGAAACAAAAUUUGUUUCUAUAUAAUUCGUCUUGUGCGUGUAAACGCGAAAACUUACUGGAAACGAAGUUACAGAUUUGUCUCAAUUUUGCUGUGCAGGACUCUGCUUGAUGCAGAUGUGAAGUUAUUUUAAAAAAUUUCUACAAAUAUUAGGAUACACUAAUCAAAGUUGAAAAAUGGACGGUGAUAGUAAUACCAGCUCUGUUAAUAAUAAACGCUCUCUCAGAACUUAUUUAGAAACAAUCAUACAUAAACAUACACCAAACAUUAGGAGAGAGAGAUCAGGUAAUUUUACUCAUUGAUAACUUAGUUACAUGAUAUAACACAGCAUUAUUGUCAUACUAGCCUAUUGCAGAGCAUAUAAUGGCACAAGCAAGGCUAUUCUUCGAUUACAACAUAAGCAUCUGUGUUCAAUGAUCUAUUAUUACUCUUCAAUCUUGAAGUACUCCAACACGCCCUCCCGAUUAGCCGCUGCGGCAUUGUAGGCACUGAGAAACUCUUCGAAAGUGAAGGACUUGUAUUUUGGCGGGUUAUGCUCGUUGAUCAGCGAUUUUGCUGGAGCAAUCAAGCAAUCCGUCUUAGGCAUGAUCAGUGAAGCAAUUGAUAACCUUGCAACAGACGUGUUCGUCACGGCUCGGUGCUCCACACUCCUCAACACUCCGUUCGUAAUUAUCUGCUUCAUCCAACAAACAAGAAAAGAAAAGAGUGUAAAUAGCGGAAUGGCUUAAUUAAAAACUGACUGUGUAAACAAUUUGUCGAUAGCAAUCAAUCACCCAAUCACAGUUCCAGUUGAUCUGUAUAGUCGACAUUAGCAUAAGACUCUGAAGUUAUCUGUCGAAGUCCAAAUUUACCUUUUCUCUUGAGUACUUCAAUGAAUUUUGAGGCAUCUGAGUAGUUUAGCUCUUAUGCGACCAGCAGUUGUUGACCAAACUGGUUGAUUAAAAGGAGCAUGUUGUUAUUCUAUUUGUUUUAAUCUUUUUAAGUACGGAUAGCGCUAAACUUCAGAGUGGUAGUAACUUCAAACAAAGUAUCAUAUAGUUUUCAACUUCAAAUCACUUCAACUGUCGAUCACGAGCCGAAAUCUUUCACUUCAGUAUAAAAGAAUUGAGAUAUUAACCUCCAACUGGUGGCCAAAAUUCACAACAAAGGCAUUGCGGAUUGGCUCAACAGGAAUCCAUUUCCCUUCAAAUUUGGCUUGUAGACCCCUAGCCGCAGUCCCUUGCACAAGAAGCGUAAUGAGGUGUCGAUCGCAAUGAGGUAGCAAACCCAGCGUCAAGCUCGGGUCGGGACACGGCGGGUAGUAAUUCACGUUCAUUUGGGUCUGACCACCGCUGAAACCGCCGCUGAAGUAGUCCUGUUCAAGCCCCAAUCCUUCUGCAAUCAACCUCAACAGCUUAUCAGCUAACUCUCUUACUUCCACUAUGUACUUCGCGAGCACCUCCCUGAAUAUAUAUUCAUAUUAGUAAAGAUUGAAAUAUAUAAUUACAUCUGCACUACUGAAAACUUAUAUUUUGUUAUAUGCUCCUGCAAAAUGCAAAUUCUUAUAAUUAUUCUCAAAACCUUUAACUUUUCCUAUGUACUAAAUUUGAAAUAAUCGUUGUUUUCUAAAAGCCUAACCAUUCAGAGGAUGAUGUUUAUAAUUUAUAUACUCAACACUCCCUCUCACUCGGUGGGUCAUAGAGCAAUACCGUAUUAAAAUAAUUUGAAACAACCAUUAUUUUUUUGAAAACUUAAGCUUUUAAAUAACGAUAUUUCUGAUUUAUAUAAUCAACACUUACAAUAACAUCGCUUCUCAUAAAAAAAAAAAAAAAAACCUUUUCUAAUACAAAACCAAUCACCUCAACUUUUCAAAAGAUGAUAUAAUAUCAACUCGCCUUGAACCCAGAUCAAACGACGCAUCAGGUUAGUUCGAGGUUUAUGCAGGAAAGUUUUGAUAAAUUUGAGAGGCCAAUAUGCAUAAAAAAGAUAAUUUUGCAGGGUAACAUGCAUUAAAAAUACAUUUAAAAAAGAAAAACUUAAUUUUUCGAGGAUUAUAUUUACGACCUGAAUUUGUCGGGUUUUUGAGGCCAUAGAUGCAUGAACUCCUCUACAGGGUAGCAAACGAGCUUCAGAUAAUCUCUCCAGUAGCGAAUCCCGUUCUGAUCAUAGGGGGUGCUCGACCCAAGCCUGCAAAUUAUGCUCGGAUCGUCGGAGUAAUACUUGGCUUUCUCCUCCACGGGCAUGUUGAAGAGCUCCUCCGAGACGCCCACCAUGUGUUCGAUCAAUUGCUCCGGCACGCCAUGGUUCACCACCUGAAGCAAAGCAACACGCCAAAGCGUUUGAGAUCGCUCCUGAGAAGGAACAGGAAACUCCAAAAGAAACCCCACCUGGAAGAAGCCGAAUUGCUUGCCCGCGUCGACGAUCUCCCUCACGAUCUCGUCUCGGCCGUCGCCCUGAAGUCGACCUCCGCGGAGGUCGAUUACGGGGAGUGCGACGGAGGAGUCGACGAGCUCUUUUGCGGGGCGCUUGUGCGCGGGGAAGAUGUACUUCUCCGGCACCGUUUGGAGCGCGACGCCGCUGGAGAGGAGCUCCAUUUUCUGCGGAAGUGGCGAAGUAGUAAGCGGCGGGUCUCAGAAGACGAGUUGUACCUGCGAGAGCCCCUUCACUUCAUUAAUUACCACUUUAUUAAAUCAAAAGCGCGAUAAUUAAUAAUACAACUUCCAAAAUAAUAUUAUUUAAUUUCAAAAUUUUAAAUGUUUAAUUAUAUCCAAAUAACUUGUAAUACUAUCUAUAUAACACUCACGUAAAGAAAAGGACAAUGGACAAAGGGGGAAAUUGUUGUUAAUUACUCGACAGAUGUGAUGGGUUAGUGGAUUUUGUCUCCUUCCACGGGCGGAGACUGAGACAGAGAAAUAAUGGUUGUUAGAACUUAGAAUAGCGUGUGUGAUAUAUAAGAUAAUUUAUUUUAUUUUAUAAAUUUUUAAUAUUACAUGUACUUUUCUUUUUAUUUUUGAUCAUGCCUCUAAUCAAGUUUACAUGCCUAUGUUUUUGGGACUAAAUGUUUGGGAAAGAUUUGUAGCUGGAUACUAGCUUAUCUGAAUAAAAUAUUAAUUUUAUUACCUUCAAUUUUUUUAUUUUAGAAAUUAUUGGACAUAUAAAUUGAAUUGGAUAGGAUAUGAUUGUAAUUAAAGUAUUGUAGAAAGAAUGAAAGCCUAGCUAUAAUUUACAAAGGAGUGGCAUUAGAUAUAAUGCGUAUGCAAAUUCAAUUCUAUUCAACACCAAUCAUUUAAAAAUAUAUUUAUUCCCACAAAAUCAUUUGAUACGUCAUAAUUCGAUAAACUUGACGUUUUAUCUUAGACUUUUUCUCUAUUUCAUCGUCUCUUUCCAAUCUAAUUGUAAGGGACUGAUGUAUAUGUUUUAAUAUUUUAAACAAUACAAUACAUCAACCUAAUAGAGAUUACCAAAAACUAUUCUUCCAGUAGCUAUCUGAAGUGCACUAUAAAAUUAAAGGUUUCCUUUGUGUGUGGAGUCACUAUUUGUGAAGCCACCCACCUUUUGUCUCUUUGUUUGUAAAUUAAUUAGCUGUCAUGUUGUGACCAAAUUGCCUUCAUAUAUAUGUAACAAAGCUUUUGGAAUAACACUUAUUUGUCAUCCUUUCUGUGGAAAUUAAAGAAUCUGGAUUUUCCCUACCCAACUCUAAUAUAAUUUUAAUGAAAGAUAUAAUUUCAGUGAGUGAUCCCUAUCAGAAAUUCACAUCUUAUACUUUGUUUCUAUAACAACAACUAGUGAAGUAGUUGAGAGUGCCUUGUGUAAUUAAUUGACUAAAUGUUUGAUCGUUAGUACUCGAGACUUUUCAAAUUUGAAAUGUAAUUACUUUAUAUUUCUAACUGACUUUAUUUUUUGAAAAAAAGAAUGAAAUGGAUAGCUUAGUAUAUACAUUUGUAUCUGAAAAAAAAAAUAGCGAAGUAAAAUAAAAAAUUAAUAUAAAUUUCUAGGUCUUAAGCGAGACAAAUUAUUGGGUGAGAGAACUUUAAUCUUGUCCUAAUAAUAUUUUUUAUAAAAUUUUAAUUGGGUGUGCGAACUUUAAAGCUUGAAUAAUUAAGAGCCCACGUCCCCAAGGCCCAGACCAAGAGAGUAGGCCCAAUCCACCUUAGCUCGCUCUUCAUGCUCACACUUACAUUUUAAUUGUAGUUCACAUAUACCACUCUAUAGAGUUUGACUGGGCUACUAUCGGUAGUAAACUGUUCAGUUUACUAUCGAUUUGUUUUUGAUGAUAGAGCUUCCAAAUCGACGAUCGGCACCGUUGAAUAUGAUCUAGACCAUUUAAAUUAUCUAGAAAUCAAAUUUCAUGAUUUUUUGGCAUCACUAACUGAACAAUCAAAAGGUCACAAAAUCUAUAAUUUUAAUGGUCGAUAUAGUGCGUUUGCUCGUUUAACAGUAUAGAAGAAUUCGAAUCAACUAAAUUUUUUUUAAAAAAUUUUUAAAACUAUUUAAAAUAAGAUCUAGACUCUAGAUCUCAAAUAUAAAAAUUGUAUCAUCACUUUUUGAAGGAUAUUCAUUUCCAGCCAUUCAUUUUUCUGUUCACUUGAUGAAUAAGAGAAUAAUAUCGAAAAUAUGUGAAAUUUGAUUUUCAGAUAGUUUAAAUAGUUUAGAUCAUGUUUAACAGUGCCGAUCAUCAAUUUGGAAGCUCUAUCAUCGAAAAUAAAUCGGUAGUAAACUGAGCCGUUUACUACCGAUAGUAUUCUAGCAAAACUCCCACGCUAUAUAUGCAUAAUGAAUUUAAUUAAGUAGCUAGAUUAUAUCCAAACAUAUCACAUUACCAACGAAGCAAUACAUCAAGUUUUACAACCAGAAUAGCAAGGUGCUCCAAAUGCCCAUAGCAGGAAAUAGCUAGCGAUAACAUUAGUUUACUGAUAACAAGUGACUACAAAGAUGUACUUACCUAUAUAAAGUGCAGGUUAUUUCACUACAUAUCUAAAAGUUGUACUGGAUACAUGUCCUUGAACUCGGUGAGUGGUCAUCCAUCGGUGGCUUGUGGUAUGGCUCUCCAGGCUUAGGUUACGGUUUGGCGACUGGGUUUAGGCUCACCCAUGUGUCCAGGAAUGGGCUCGGACUUGUGACCAGGCUUAAGCUCGGGAGGAUGACUAGGCUUAGGCUCGGGCAUGUGUCCGGGUUUCGGCUCGGGCAAAUGACCAGGCUCAGACUUGGGAGGAUGGCCAGGCUUAGGCUCGGGCUUGUGUCCGGGCAUUGGCUCGGGUUGGUGACCAGGUUUAGGCUUGGGAGGAUGGUUAGGCUUAGGCUGGGGCAUGUGUCCAGGUUUGGGCUUGGGCAUAUGUCCGGGCUUAGGCUUUGGCAUGUGCCCAGGUUUAGGCUCAGGUUGAUGACCAGGCUUUGGCUCGGGUAAACAAUCAGGUUUGAGUUCAGACAUCCGAUUCUCCUCGGCCACAAUUUGGCGAGCAUCAUGUCCAUAAGUCGACGGCGUCAUCGACAGCAGUUUCUUGUGAAGAUUACCGUGGUACUUCGACAAUUCCUCAUGACCAGCAAAAGAGGGAGUGGUGUAAGAUGCCACCCCCAGGAAUAGAAGCACAAGAAGGUAAUGUGGGAGUGUAGGUGCCAUAUUGCUUGUGUAUGUUAAUGGCUCAUAGGAGUGGCAGGAGACUACUUAUAAGAGAUGCAGAGAUUUAGGAGAGAACCGAAAAUAGGAAAGUAAGUGACGGAUUUUAGUGUCGGCAACGAGAUCUUGCAAAUCCACUUGAAAGCGCCGACUUGUAUGACUUACGUCGCACUCGUUCGACACAAAGGCGUUAAAGUUGAUGCCACGAAUUAAUUAAAGCUCUAGAUCGAACAUAAUAAUCACAAUUAUGCUACGCUUUUGCAUGUGCUCAUGACAAGUGGAUCUAUCCACUACAACACGCAAAAGGGUAGAAAUAUAUAAUAAUAUAAUAAUACAAAUAGGGUGCUAAAUAUUAAAUAGUCAAAAAGUAUUGACAGUUUUGGACACAGAUAAAGUGGUGAUGAAUAUAUCUUCAAUAAUAGACUAUAUGAUCAUUUAUGCCUUACCACGCAGCAUAUAUGUUCCAUUAAAAAAAUAUAUAUAACCAUUGUUAGGUAAAAAGUUAGCGGGUUAAGGAAAUUAAUUAAUACCACUCAAGUAGUUGGUUUCGUGGACGUCAACAUUCAUUCAUAUAUAUAUAUAUAUUUAGUACUAUACAUUCAAAUUUGCCUUUAAUAUUUUAUAUAUAUGGUCCUAUUGAUGAUCACUUUGAUGGCGUAUAAAAUAAGGAAGUAACGAAAGAUAAGAUUAGUAAGCUUAGUUGUUUGUAAAUAUUUGUAACGUACCUUGUGUACGGAUUGGAAUUGAUUAGUUGCUUAAUUUCACCAUUAAUAUUGGGACAUUUUAUGGUAGUUCUAUAAAUUUAUCCUAUAUAUAUAAACAUUGUACUAUCUACGAAUGCCGGGAUUAGAUCUAUCACUAUAUAUAUAUUAUAUAUAGAUUUUUUAUUUUGUUUUUUUGAGAGAUAGGUAGCACGCUACCCGCUUCUUUUAUUUUAUUUAGAAAAUAAACUUAGCUGAAAACUUGGGUCUCAGAUACCAACCACCAAAUUCUUUGUCACUUACUCUAGGGACGAUCAGUAGAAUAUUUAUUAAUUAAUAUAUAUGAAUAUAUAUUUGUGCAGCAAUACACAUUGCACUUGUCACAUGUUUUGAAUAUGUAUAAGACAUACUCAGAUAUGGGCCGGGCUAAGUUGCAAGCGAAAUUUAUGUGCAUUUUUUGGGCCUUGGCCCAAUUCAGAAAUUUUUUUUUUUUGGUCCCCCAUUUACAAGAGAGAGAGAGAAAAAUAAGAAUCGCAUAGACGAAUUAAAACUAAUGCAAGCUCAUUGCGUAGGGGAAUAAUAUCAGAUGAGACGCUUUUAGCAUCUACUUCAUCUUUCUAGCUUUUGGAAAUAUUUAUUUUUCAAGCUUUUGUUGCGAAGUGCGCAUGAGAUUCUGAGGCUGAGAAACCAAAGCUUCAAUUCAGAGGUUUAUUUUUUGGUGAAUUUCGGUGUUAAGCUUAUUCUAGUAAUAUUUUUAAAACAAGUUAUACAGCAGUUAAUUAAAUCAUUAAUGUCCAAAUCCAGUAACAUCACUUGAAAGUAACCCUUGCUAAAAAAAAACAUCACAUUUGUCCCUUUCUAAGCUGUUGUUUCUAAUUUAUAUAUAUAUAUAUAUAUAUAUAUAUAAUAGCUGGCACAAAUUUUUUUGAGAAAAAUAGCUGGCACAAUUUGUUGUAAAUAAUGCUAUGUCCAAAUUUAAAUUUUCUAAUUUAAUUCAAGUUCAAUCCCGUUAGCCUUACAGUAUUAUUAUAUUUUUUAAUUCCAUUGAAGUUUAUGUUUUGAAUUUAUUAAAAUAUCUCAAAUUUAGUGGUAAAUAAAAGUGCUAAAUAUAAAUACUUGAAACAUCAUGCAUAAGAUACCGCAUAAUCCUCAAAAGUAAAUGGGCCCGGUUAGAAUAAAAAUCAAUUUUUUAAAUAAUAUGAUGCCAAAAUUAGUUUUUUUUGGGUAUAAUUUUGUUAGCCUAUAAAUAAAAUAGUGUUAUAAGUAAGAUUUAUUUUACCACAACCAAUAAAUAUGUCAAUUCAACAAUAUUUUAUAAAUAUAUUAAAUAUAAUUUAUUAUCAGUGAAAAUAAAUUUCUAUUUAUUUAAUAUUAUUGCAUCAUUCUACUUCCUAAUAUAUUUUUUACUUUUUUUUUUUUUGGGUAAUUUGGGUCCAAAGGAUCUCUUUCUAAUUAACCCGAAACCCGAAUAAAUAAUAAAAAAAAAAAGACAAAUGAAAUUAUCCGUUGUGAAAAUAACGAGAGCCGUCCACGUCAAUUCCCGGAUCCUUCCUACCCGUCAAUUGCACCGCCCCAUCCCCACUCUCCACUCGCUCUUCGAUAACUUACUCCCUGAACCCACUGCACCACGUCAUCCACGAACAGCAGCAACUCAUCACCCUUCAUUCAGCUGAUAAUCGGCAUCGAACCGUUGAAACUAAAAAGAUACUAAUGGGCGUACUGAACCGAGUCCAUAGAACAGUUUCCCACCGCUGGAUCGGAGACAAAGCAAUUUAAUUUCAUAAACAUUAAUUUUUGUAACCCCCCAGAGUCGUAAAGAUUCUCCCUUUUUUGCCAUAGCAUGAGAACCAAGGUGUCACCCUCGUCUUUUUCCUCUCUCCGAUCGCAGGAGUAAACCCUACGGUCGAGAGGGGGAAGGAGGAGGAGGGGAGAGAUAGGGAUGUUAUUGGAGGAGCGGAGUGCGCAAUUCCCUGUUUGAGCGAAGAGGGAAGGGCGCUUAGGGUUUCUGUGGUGGUCAAAUUAGGGUUUAGAGAUGGAACCUGCCCUUUUGGAUGAUGUGAUACAGAGGCUCUUGGGGGUGAGAGGGACGAAGCCGGGGAAGCAGGUGGUGCUGACGGAGGCGGAGAUCAAUAAGCUCUGCGUCGCGGCGAAGGGCAUCUUCCUCCAGCAGACCAAUUUGCUCGAGCUCGAGGCGCCGAUCAAGAUUUGUGGUAUGUUUUAGCGUCAAAUUAUGUGAUUUUUAGCAUGUUUUAUGAUCUGGUUUUGUGCAAAGUUGGGACUUUGGAUGUGGGUUUUUGUGUAGUUGUGAGAAUAUGUUUGGUACUUAGCGGUGGUUAUUGAUUUAUUUUGGUAUCUGAAGGAUUAGGUUAGGUUUAAGAUUAGAACUUCGCAAGUUAUUGAGUUUUUGGUGAUUUAGUCUGGGCUUUUGCUAGUAUAAAGAGUCUUUAAUGAUAACUGAGAAAAGUUAGCAUUUUGGAUCUAGUUGUUCAAUUCUAGGUAUGAUUACAUAUUUUGUGCUUUUUAUACACCCACUAUAGUAGGAUUUACAUGUUGAUUGUCUUGGUAUAUGAACAAAUAUUUGCGUAAGUUCCUUAACACUAAGUCAAGCCCAUUCCUUGUUGAUAUUCAUCAUUUAAUACCGAGUGAUUGUCGGACAAACCCUUCAACUUUGUGGAAUAGAAUCUGAGAUUAUGAAGACUCUCUGCAGCUUCAUUUAUGCGCUACUUUAACAUCUUAGAAGCUCCUUGAUCUACUACCAUCUGCUCCUUUGUAACAUCUUCACAACUAUUACUACCGAAAAGCUGGACUCAGAAUAUAGACUCUAUACGAGGUUUUUAUGCCCCUUAAUGAGGAAAACAUACUCUUAUGACCUGAUCACAAUGCUCACUUUCACCUUAUCCUCAGGGAGAACAAAAGUUGGUAUAGCAUUUGGCGAAGGCAGUGAGUUGAUCAAAGUUUCCUUUUUAUUUUUGAGUAACAUCUGUUUAUGACGAUUGACCUUCAACCUCCAGGAGGAAAUUUCAGAAAUUUCUUAGCGGUAAGUUGGUCUUCUAGUUUUUGAACUUGCUCUUCUUACUUUUAUGUUCUGUUUUUGCUUUCAGGUGAUGUUCAUGGCCAGUACUCUGAUCUUCUCAGGCUGUUUGAAUAUGGCGGACUCCCUCCACAAUCUAACUACCUUUUCUUAGGUGAUUACGUGGAUCGAGGAAAGCAAAGCCUUGAGACAAUAUGCCUUCUGUUGGCAUAUAAAGUCAAAUACCCUGAAAACUUCUUUCUCUUGAGGGGGAACCAUGAGUGUGCGUCCAUUAACCGGAUUUAUGGGUUUUAUGAUGAAUGCAAGCGCAGAUACAGUGUUAAGCUCUGGAAGGUCUUCUCCGAUUGUUUCAACUGCCUACCUGUGGCUGCUUUAAUAGAUGAGAAGAUAUUAUGCAUGCAUGGCGGGCUUUCUCCUGACUUGCAUGAUUUGGACCAAAUACGUAAUUUAGCCCGCCCAACUGAUGUGCCUGAUACUGGUUUGUUAUGUGAUCUUCUGUGGUCAGAUCCUUGUAAAGAAAUUCAAGGAUGGGGAAUGAACGAUAGAGGUGUAUCUUAUACCUUUGGGGCGGAUAAAGUCGCUGAGUUCCUUGAGAAGCACAAUCUAGACCUAAUUUGCCGUGCUCAUCAGGUUGUGCAUGAAAAACUGGUUUUCCCCCUGUUUUUAAGACAUUUACUUAUCUACCCCUCAAAAUUUGUUUGUUUUUAUUAAUAUCCCUGUAAAAUCUAAAUUAUUCAUGUUUGCCCUUCAAAAACUCAAUUCGUGACGUGUUCAUAUUAUAAAUUAGUGCUUCUACCGAUCUCCUUGCAUUAAUUGUGGUGAACCUGAACUUAAAAGUGGGUAUUUUUGUAAGAAAAGGCACCUUUGACUUUAUAUAUGAAAAUAAAGAUUUUACUGUGUCAUGUAGAUUGAUUUUGUAGGAUAUAUCUGAAAGCCCUUCCUAUUUUAUGCUGACGUAAAUUAAAUUAAAAUUAAAAUUUAUUGUGAUUUAUUGCUUGUUAUUAAGGUGGUGGAAGAUGGAUAUGAGUUCUUUGCUGAUAGGCAGCUGGUUACGAUAUUCUCAGCGCCUAAUUACUGCGGUGAAUUCGAUAAUGCUGGUGCUAUGAUGAGCGUAGAUGGCACCCUUAUGUGCUCCUUCCAAAUAUUGAAGCCUGCAGGAAAAACGUUCUUCGGAGGCACACCUUCAGCUAAAGGUGGAACACCUGCCGUCAGUAUGAAGGUACGUGCAACAAUUUAGCUAACACCUAGUAAUAUUUCUGAUUAGGGAUCGUUGUAGCGAGCUGUUGAGAAUUGCUCAAAGCCAUUUUGAGUUGCUUUUGUUGUUGUGCCGUCAAAAUUAGGAUUUACGAAGAUGAGUCCACAUAAGUAUUAUGAGAAAGGCACCUUUUUGGUAAAAUUGGAUAACAUAUUACAUAUGCCGUUAAAAUUUUCGACUGUCGUUAUCUGUGUGCUGUAGAGCUGCUGUUUUCUCAUCUUGUUCUUUUUAAGUUUUGUUGGAGUCUCUGUAGUUGAAAGCCCUAUAUGUUUUGUUGCUAAAUGGGUCUUUAGGUGGGAAACAGAAAAAUGCAGACAUUGUAUUGUUAGGAGAUUCUGCAUAAUUUUGAUUGGCAUAUCUUCAGGAUUCUCUGAAAUUGAGUUUAAAAGCUCUUUCACGCAUCGGAAAGAAUUCUCAUAGACGUGGUCUCCUCAUUUGUUCUGCAAAAUCCAUAACACAAGAGUUUGCUUGUUGAAGUAUAUUAUCGUGCAGCAAAUGUUCAUGGCUAAGCAACUCUCUCUCUCUCUCUCUCUCUCUCUCUCUCUCUCAAGUAAGCCUCUAUUUUAUGUGAACAGUCUUUCCUUGGAGCAAAGGCAUAGAAUCAGUGACCACAGAGGGCAUGCCAGAAGGUCUCACUGGGGCAUUUUGGAAUAAUGUUCUCGUCACUGCAAACUCUUGCUAGAUUCUUGGACACUGAAGCAAGGGAUUUGAAGUGCUUAAUCGCCCUGGUCACAAUAUGUACAUUAGUUUUUGGAAUAGCUCUCUGUGGAAUGUAUCAUUGGUUUUAACUCAAAAUAGAAACUUGUUCAAUUGUGCUUGUAGCUCAUUCUUGAGAGUGCAAGAUCCAUCAGUCUGUAACGCUGUUGUAACUGGCAAAUUAUCUUUGUUUAGUCCCCUAAAACGUAGUAUUUGGCUUGAGGGGCUCUUCAGCCUAAGCUGCUGCUAUCUUUUUGGAAGUUCUUCUGCACUUAAAAUUGCCUUGUUCGGCUAUCCAUAUGUUUUGCUAUGGUUUCCUACUUAGUGGUACUAUGGCGGCUAAAGCACUAUUUUUAUACUAUUAGAGGGUCGAAAAGUUUAAAAGCAUUUUAAUUUGUUCUUCUUUUAUACUAUAAAAUUGCGGAGAAAAAAUAUUGGAGGAAGAAAGAUUUAUGAGUACUUUUGAAUUUUUUGGAUUGUCUAUAGUAUAAAAAUAAUACUUUUAGCUAUCAUAUUAUCGAAUUAGGUCGAGGCAGUGUACGGUAUAUUUCCGCCAGUUUCAGUAAUACAUCUGCUUGGGUAGCUGUGCUUCCCUUUACCGGGACUUUGUCUGUGGGAUCUCAUCAGUUUCUCUAUCCCCCUUUAUUUUCACUUUCACGUUGUAGACGCCCUUUGCGUGUGCCAAUUUUGAUGUCAUUUGAUGCAUGGCUUUUUAUUUGAAAGCUUCGUAAUGGCUUAUUUGUGAUCGUUUGAUGUUGCUUGGGAAUUUAUCUGCAGUUCCUUAUAUGCUCUGUUUGUGACCAUUUGAGAACCCAGCUUUUCGACGUGGAAGGAUGCUUUGAUUGAGAGGGCUCCACUGUCACUUAUGUGAGAGCUCUCUGAAGUCGGAGAAUCUAUUCGGCUCGAGAUUCCAAUGACUCUUGCGAACUCUCGAAUAAAGGGGUACGAGAUUUACACCUUUUUGGGCGUACAAGUAGCAUUUUUUUGUAUGGACGCUGAGACGUCAUUCUCAUGCCAUCGAAAGAUUAGAUACCCUAUGGUUAUGGCCACUAAUCUAUCAACUUUGACCACCAAUUAACAAGCAUAGACGGUGGGAAAUGGCCGUCACAAAAAUUCCAGGUAAAGAGGAGAAGAAUCCCAAUGAAGUGGGCUCUCAUCUAUUUUCCAUUGUUCAAAUUGAGUGCUCCAAGGAAUAAUCACUUUAUUGUUGUAAUUUGCGUAGUUACCCUGUACUUUACCUCUUUGAGAGGGGCAAGGAGGAGAGAAGAGGGGGUAAAGAGGGAAAAGCCGUGGCUUCUCGGAGCAGCUGCUUCUCCCAAAACGCGUUCUAGGGCCAGGAAUGAAAGGUAUCUAUCUAAACUCCUGUAGCUUUAGACCUUGGGGAUUAGGGAAUUAACAUUGUGAAGAAAUGAGAAGUUUUUCGUUCACGUAUGACUCUCUGUUCUACCAAAAAAUAUGUUUGGCCUCGCUUGCUUGUGUAUGCUCUGUUUUACAGCUUACAACUAAAACAAUUUAUUGAUCAAUUUUUUAUUUUCAGUGUUACUGUGAUUGAGAGAUGCCCGCCAGGCCACCACACUUAGAAUGCACUAAUUAUAUUGCUGAUCCGGCGUCACAACCAAUAAAAUUGUCUCCUUUGGAUUCACUUGUCCCGUCAUGGUUAAUAGAAAAAUAUUUUUAUUAUACUUUUUUCUUAAAAAGAGAGAUAUGAUUGGUUUAUUACUAAUAAUAUAGUAUAAGUGUGAAACUGUAGACUUUCGCUCUUUAAUACAGAAGGUUGUGCUACCUUACAGCAUAUUAUUAUUAUUAUUAUUAUUAAUGGUAUUAAAUCAUAAAGUCAGGCCAAAUAGACAAAUUAUUAAAGCUAGCACAUCAGCAGCGUCGGGGAAGCUCGACCGCAAUCGUCAGAUCCUCCAGGUUUCUGUACUUUGCGCAGAGCCGCAAUCGUCAGAUCCUUCAGGUUUCUGUACUUUGCGCAGAGCCCCAAUCCAGCGGCGAAGGCCCACCACGGCUACACGCCGGGUAUCGGCGUGCAGAACUCGCUGUUCGAAGCAGAAGUCGCUCAAGAUGUCUGGCGAGAACCAGCCCAGUGGUGACGCUGGUGACGCCGUCUCUGUCGCCGGGUACAAGAGGACCUUCCCCGUUUAAUUUGUUCACUAUGUGUACACACAUAUGCGGAGUACUACUUACAAUACUCUUUCUCCCUAAGAACUUUUGAACUCUUAUCGAUUAAGGUAUGCAGAAAUUAUGUUGAGAGGGCCUUUAUUCGGCGAGAACAGUAUGAACGGUGAAUUAAACCGUCUCACGUAAACAUUUGUACAUAUCAAGCUGUGUGUUUGUUUCUUUUUGUCGGUAGAGAGUUUGUAGAAUCCAGAGUAAUGCAAGAUUCCGAAAUCCUUCUGCAAAUUACAGCAAAUUCAUUUAGCACCACCAAAAGAGAAGGGGGCCUGCACUCUUGCCAGACCAUGAAAUCCUUCUGCAAAUUACAGCAUAUAUUCCUUAUAAAAGAGAUGGGAGCAUUUCAGGCCACACAUUACCCACCUGCGCAUACAAAUCACUAACCCUAAAUCCCUUCCCCCCGGCCCAGUAUUACAAUUUCCAUAUACCACCAACAUCAAGAGUCUCCCUUCUAUCACAGUACUAUCUGUAAUACCACUAAUGGUCAGGGUUUCACUUACGCACCGUUCGGCUUCCAAAUUGCCUCGUGCCUCAGGCCCAAAGUUAAAGAGACUGCCCCGAAACCACCUAUAUCCAUCCCACUAGGGUACGCCAUGAAGCUCAUUAAAGUGCCAUCCGUGCUCUCCCGAAUGCCGCACUCCUGCAUCCUCAAUGGCUUAUCUGGGUGCCACGCCUCUGCACUCGGCAUGUUGCCGUCCUUGAAAGGAGCUUCGGCAGAAGCACUUUCUGAUAGCUUGUUGCUUUCUUCUGAUGAUUGUUCGUUCAGGGGCCCUCCGCUAUUAUAUGUGGUGGGUCUCAAGUCAUUCCUGCUGGCAGAAGCAGAAGCAGAAGCAGAAGCAGAGUCGAGGGCGCAGCCACUCAUGCUUUUGGUCUCGAGCAUGUGGAUCUCCUCCACCAUUGGCUUCCAAAGUCUCACCCUUGCAUUGAUGAACCAGUUUGAGACCUACUUUAGAAAAAGCGCAGUUAGAUGCAAGCAAUUAGUCAAUGUAGCUGAGGUGUGCCACAGUUAAACCAUGGCUUAUUAGAAGAGAAAUAUAAUUAAGCUAUAACUCGAUGCAAGUAAUUAGUUCAUGUAGCUGAGAUGUGUCACAAUUAACCAUGGCUCGUUAGUAGAGAAAUAAUAUUUAAGCUGUAACUCAAUCCACAGCGUGAUUUGUGUGAACCUGUGAAAGCUCUAGGAAUGUUAUAAAUUACAAAGUGGUGAGACUCAUGUUAUUCAAAGUCAAAGUUCAUGAGUAUAGAUGAACCUCAAAGCAUGCACCCACCACACUACCAACAAAGCAUUUCCCAAAUUAGGCCUACAACUAAUUGACGCUAGUGAUACAGAAGUUUUAGAAACGAGUAAAUAAACUCGGCACGUAACUUGCUCUUGUAUCAACCCUACAGCAUGCCGACAAACAAAGAGACUCCAGAAAAAUGGUCGAUUAGAAAGUUUACCUGGUUCCGAGACAAACCAGUCUGAGCUGCUAACAUGUGCUUAUCUGUAUCGGUUGGAUACCUGAAAGCAAGUGUCUUGCAUGAGUUGGCUGUUCUCAGUUACUACACCGUGCAUUCCUUAAGUGUAUAGAAAUUGUUUAUAAGCAAAGUAAAAGCCGUAGAAGGAAAAUUACAGUAAAAUCAUAUAUAUCUUGCCUGCAGUGUAAGAGCACACGCCGAAACAAGUGAGAUUUAGGUAUUUUGACUGUAUUAACUAACCUUUCAUACUUUGAUUCUAGAAAAUUCUGUCGAGUUCUGAAAAAAAUUGGCUGUUUUAAACAAACCACAAAAUCUGUUAGAAAUGAUACAAUUAAGUCCUCAUGGAAAGGAAUUGAAUCAAAUGUGAUGAGAUAAUAACCUAGGAUUUUUGAAAUGCUCAGGCGGCUGUCUCAAAAUGUGCUAUAAUAAGGGACAAGAUGGACGGUUUUUACCCAACAAAAUUAUUAAACAACAAAACACGUGGCCAUCAGAGUGUAAAACUAGAACUUACGGAUGAAGAAAAUGAUCGAACAACCAAUUCCUCAAAACAGCAACAGCACGCUCAGGGAGACCCCGCUGCGGCCUCCAGACAGGCUGGUUAUGUUCUACAAAGCCUAAACUCCUCUCGCCCACCUUCUGUUUGUGGUUACCCUGCUCAGUGUGCUUUAACCUCGAGGACGAGAACAUUUCUCCUUUACUGGUGCUUGGCGAUGACAUGAACUCCUCGCCCAGAACUUUGCUGAUGUUCUGCAGCUGAUUCAGUAUGGCGCUUUUCAAAGAGCGGAAGUGCUUAGAGAUGGUCUUAAGGGCUAAGGAAGCAUAGGGUGUGGCAGAACUUAGACCAGCAACAGAUUCAAAGGAAGAGCCCACCAUCUGCACUUGUUGGUGAUACUGCUUGUAUCUUCUGCAUACCUUUGUAGGCAUGAAAAUAAUAGUUAAUAUAAGCAAUCGGAUAAAUACAAAAAUGCACAUUGUAAGUAUAUUGAACAACGAGGAAACUUAACAAUUAAUUUUCGUCCUAGAGGGAUUCGACUAUUUAUUUGGGAUUUCAGUGCUUCAGAGGCACUAUGCAUUAAAUAGUAGUAACGAGAAGCAAAAGAGGGAGGAAAAAGAUAAAAUUACGUAAAAAGCUUGUAAUAGAAACUACAUCAUGGAAUUGCUACAGACAUGGAAAGUGGAUAAGGAAUACAAAAAGGUUUCUUCCCCUCCUGGAAAUGAAUAAAGUGAGCCCAACACUUCUGUUGUAUAGGAAGAGGUGAAUGGAAAUCUUAUAGCAUUUGAAGACAUGUAGAUAUAUAGACAGACAUGUAGAUUAUACAUCUACACCACGUAUAAGUCAUACUAAACAGUUUCGAGUUUCAACUGAUAUAUAAGCCUCAAGAAUCACGGUUAUUACCAUAUCUUUAGUAUUGCACUUCAACCAGCAAUUAUUACACAUUCAACUGAGAUUUACCGCAAAUAUAGUUUUAACUCUCCCACUACAAUUCUUUGUUCUACUCAGCAAUCUGUGUAAAUGCUUUAAUGUUGCUGACAAACGUGCAGAUUGUACACUAAAAUUGCAGAUGCAGUAACAAACAUUUAUUGACUUGUCUAUCGUCUCUUAAAACCAUUGUGCUCUAAUUUCACAUUUUCCUCCCAAAAGCUUUUAGUAGUAACUUCUCAUCUACCUAAGAUCACUGUUUUCCCUUCUCCAUGCCAAGUUAACCAGCUUUUUAAUAGUUAAUGUCACUCUUUUCUGGUGUAAGCACCCCUCUAAGACACUCGCAAACAGGCUUUAUCAGCAUCCCCCUAUUGUUUUUUUUUUUUUUAAAUAUAAGUUGCAUAGAGUUUGUCGGGUCCAUCAAUUAAGAGCUUUUAAUUACACCCUUCAGCGUAGCGUCCUUUCAUCACCAUUUUUCCUACAGUGUUGAGACAUUUGUUAUUUAACUAGUAUGAGCUAAAUCUCUCAUUCAUAUUUUUAAUUCUUGGAAAGAACAAGAAAUCAUUCUAUUUUAAAGUUCCAAACAUAUUGCGUAUUUGGCCCACUAAAAUCACUAGCUUGAAUAUCUUAUUCAACAACUCACUAAUCUUAUACAUCGUGUAAUAAAAACUUGAAUAUACAUAGGUGGAGAAAAGUUAACUAACACCCAAGUAUAGAACUGAAUAUUUAUAGAAAAGAUCGAAGUUUUUAAAUGAAAACUAUGACAUCUUAACUGAAACAAUUGGCUGUAUUCAGAAACAUUUAAAAGACCAAUACAGAACUACCACUUAUAUGCUUGCGAGAUUUACUAAAUCAUGUAAUAUGAUUCGCAUUACCAUUUGUACAACCUUCAUACUGGACCUAUUUAGCUUAGAUCGACUCUUUUGCGGCUCAAAUAUUGUCGGAAUCCAAAGAAGUUCACACGUUGACCAUAACUAUUCUUUAUUCAAUUUAUAGCAAUAGACAAGUAUCUACAGAUUAUAGCAAAAAUUCAUUGAGAGACUGAAAUACAAAGAGCACAAAAAUAGAUGAAGAGAAUGAAAUCCCCAACUUUGAAUUCAAUAAUAUAAAUUACUCAAUGGUUCUAGUAACAUGAAACAAUUGACCCCCCGUGAGCACCUAAUUUAAAGAAAUUUCCUUUAAUCAUACUUAAGCUCAAAAAAGUAACUCAAAGUACUUUUUACCACAUUUACGUGUAUAGGCAUGAGAGUUGAGUCGCAUAACCACCAUUAUUGCCACGUACAUUAUUUGGUAUUUAACAGCCAAGGAAACAUUUAGCAAACAGGCAUUAAACAAUUGUCCUUAUGGCGACCAGCAACAUUAAACACGCAAGAAAUCCUAUAAACUUAACAACAUGUGAUCUGUGCAAAAGAAGAACUUUGUUUCAAGAUAGCAUCGAGGAAAUAGUGAGAAAACUUCAAAAUACAGUUUUUCUUAUAACGAGGAGAAGAAUGCGACUAAACUAAAUUUUCUCCUAUAUGAUUUUUCUAGCCUAGAAGCUAUUUUUUCUUUAAAUAGGAUAAAUAUAACUCAUGCGAUAGCUGAACAAUCUUUUGAUUGAUAAAAAAGUGGUCGACAAGUACCUAGUGGUUAUAGCGAGCAAUUAAACACAAAGGCACAAAGAAGCAUCGAGUAACAAACCAGUUGUCGAAAUCAAGCUAAACAUUAAUAAGAAAAAAAAAUUACUCUUCAUAACGUUUAAAUGUAUAUCUAUGGAUUGGGAAAACGCAAAGCAUGAAAGUGCAUUAUCGUCUCCUAUAUUUUUAUUCAAUAUUUGAUGGCCUGCGAGUAUUCAACAACCAAAUAGCUAAUGAGUCCUCGUGGUGAUCAGCGAGAUUUCUCAAUCAUAGUAACUAACAAAAUGCAAAUAUAUGGUUAUUUACCCACGAUAAAGUACGUGAUUCGUGAAUUAGAAACACCUCAAUCAGCUAAUAUCAAUGUUCUACGUAUGUCAGAAAAUCAUAUAUAAUUUGCAAAACGCCAUUAUAUGAUAUAAUGCAUCUAACAUUGAACGAUGGAAAUAACAGAUCUAGAUGGAUAUACCAUCAAAAUCAACUUAAAGCCGCAGCAAUAAAAAUCACAAUAAAAUGUUGCUGAGUCGAAACUAAUUACCUCCUCUUGCAUGAACAGGAGCUUCAACUUCACCUGCUGGAAUUCGGGGCGGUGCUGAACCGCACAAGUGCCGCUACCGCCACCACCGUUACCUCGCUCGGAUGAAUUAUGCAGAGGAGACAACAUAUCCGAAGCAUCGCCGCCGCCGCUGACUCUAUCGCAUAAAUUUUGGCCGUCUCCGCCUCCGCACGGCUUGGCGAGGCCCAAGCCCGUGACGGCGCUACAAAUCUCGUCGAGGAGCUGCUGCGCGGGGCGCAAGAAUUUGGAGCUCCUCAACACCGCGGCGUAGCCGGUGAAGGGCCCGAGGGGGCCCGCGGCGCGGCGGGUCUCCGCGGGGGAGUUCGCAAGGCCGUGGAACGCGACGCCGCCGCCGAUCGAGCACUUGGCGUGCCCUAACCGGUCCUCGUACUGGGGCGGGGGUGGCGCGGGGAGCUCCGUUAGCGGGCUCGGCGACAGCGUCAGCGAGAGGCCGCGCGCCGCCGCGUAGGCGUAGUCGCCGCUCCACUGGUGCGGAAGCAUCAGGUCGGUUCCGGAGCCUUCCGGAAGGUUCGGCGGGACCACGGAGGGCAAUUCUAGGGUUUGGGAGCCCAGCGAGGAGGGCGAAGGGGCGGCGAUGACCUCGUGGAGGGCGCCGCCGUGGUAGGGUUGGGAAGAGGGGAACGGGGCGAAAUCGACGUAGCCGUUAACGCCGCUCACGAAGUCGCCGGAUCUGCUGCGGGGCCCGUUGGAGGGCUCGAACCCUUCGUCGCCGAGGCCGAGGGGGAAGGAGAGCGCGAACAUGGCGGGGUCGAAGUGGGGGGCGGCGUGGUGGGGAGGGGCGGGGGCGAAGCGGAGCUUGUCGCGCCGGGUUUGCUGCGCCACGUGGGGUCCCUCCCGCGAGAAGCUACUCGCCAUAGGAGAGAGCGAGGGGCAUGUGAUAUAUAUAUAUAUAUAUAUACGCUCGUAUACGUCUGGGUGCGAGGUUCAAAGCGCCAUUAAUGGAGGAAGCGGAGCUCUGUGUAUGUGAGGACGAGAUAGAGAGAGAGAGAGAGAGAGAGAGGGAGUACGACGAGGCCACUGAUUAUUAAUUGAUUUAAGAGAGAGAACACAGAGAAAGGGUUGAUGCGCAAACAAAGAGCUACAAUACCUCCUGAGAAGGGUGAAGUAGUAACCACUGUAACCUUCGAAACUAUUCCCUGCACCCGGUGUACCAGUGAGUUUCGUACACCCGGUGUAAAUUUUUUUUUUUUAAUAAUAAAAUUGCUUUUAAGAUCGACAUCAAAUCCAACUGAUGUCAUCUACCCCAUCCAAAUAACUCAAAAUUUUUUUGAAAAAAAUUUCAAAAUUCCAAUAUUAUUUGACAGCUAUAUUUUUUUUCAAAGUUACUGUCCAAACUUACAUUGUUAGCCAUAUAUUAUGCAAUAAUUUCUCCCAGCAACCUGGGAUAUUUUAUAUUAAUAUUUUAGUCCUUUUCUACCGCUACUUUUUACUACAGUGGGUUUGGGGGUGGUGGUGGAAUGGAAUGCUACGAAGACGUGGUAAAAAACAGCGAGGAGAGAACAAAACGCGGAGAAUAAAAGCGCUUUUCCGGAAAAGGAAAAGCGCGGGCCCGUAAAGAGAAAAGGGUGAGAGAGAGAGAGAGAGAGAGAGAGAUUACCACCCUCUGUAGAAAAUAUUCCCCUCAAUCACCAGCGCAAAGCGAGUGAAGCGGAUUCCACCUUUCCACGCUGCCACCACUUGACGCCGUUAAGGAACUGUUAAGUUUCCAAUUUAAAAAUAAUAAUAUUAAUAAUAAUUGAAAAAAUAAAGGUAAAUUUGAAUUUUGCUUAGUUUGGUAUUAAAAUCUAUCUAACACUAUUAGGUGGAAUGGAGUUGAGAAAAUGCAUAUAGGGAUAUACUUCUACGUUCUCCGAUUGGACCGUAGAAAAUAUACUGUAACCGACUAAGCGCAAUAUGCUGAAUGCAAUAUUACGUAGAAAAAUAAACGGAGUAUUUUUCCAUCGUGAUUUUUCACCGCACGUAACGCAAUCUUACCGCAAUCCCAAACGAAGCCUUAGCCUUUCCUUUUUAUUUUGUUGCGUUUAGAUUCAAAAUUUUUUGUUUUAUUAUUCUAUAGUUUACUUGUAAUUUUAUUAUCAGAAUCUAAUUGAUUAACUGUCAAAUGUAAUGAAGUCCAUAUUUUCUUAAUUUUUUCAUUAGUUAUGAGAAUUUUAGAACAAGUCUAAUUUUACUGAGUAAAACAAAUAUAUAUAUAUAUAUAUAGAGAGAGGGAGAGAGAGAGCUAGCUGGUAUACUAUCUAUAGCACGGAGGCCUCCGUGCUACUAAGUUGUUUUCAAUGAUGCGGCUUCCAAAUCGACGAUCGGCUCCGUUAGAUUUGAUCUACACUAUUGAAAGUAUUUAAAAACUAAACUUCAUAAUUUUUUUUUAUCAUUUACCUAUCAAACGGUAGUCUAAAAAUGAACGGCUGAAAAUAAAAAUCUCAUAAAAAAUGAUGAUAAAAGACUUGAAUUUAAGAUCAAAGAUACUAAUCUUACCCUAAAUAGUGAAAAAAAAUUUCUAUAAAAAUUUCAUCAGAUUUGGAUUGUUUUACACCGUUAAAUUCACAAACGUAUCACAUCUACCAUUAAAAUUGUCAAUUUUGAAGUCUUUUGAUCACUAGCCAAAUGAUGUCGAAAAAUUAUGAAAUUUAAUUUUCAGAUACUUUUAAUAGUGUAAAUCAAGUCUAGCGGAGCCGAUCAUCGAUUUGCAAGCCGCACCAUUGGAAACAACUUGAUAGCACGGAGGUCUCCAUCCUACCGAUAAUAUACCAGCCUAACCCUAUAUAUAUAUAUAUAUAUAUAUAUAUAUAUAUAUAUAUAUAUAUAUAUAUNNNNNNNNNNNNNNNNNNNNNNNNNAUUGGAAAACUUCAAAAAAAACUCCCAGCUGUUUCAUAUUUCUCAACUUUGCCCCAUGUGAGCUUUAAAAUCGUAUCCAAAUUGCCCCUCUGUGGUUUUAUUUUUUCCUUUUACUUACGCAAUUUUAUAUAUUAUUUUUCCUUAAAUUAGUAAUAAAGUUAAAAAUUAAAGGUAUAAAGUAAAUAUUCUGAAACUAUAAUGGUAUGGAAGUUAUUUUUUUGUAUAUAGAAUUUAACGAAACAUUAACGAAAAAGCUAUUGAAAGUAUAAAAACGAAACCACAACAGCAAAUUUGAACACUUUAAACCACAUGGGGGCAAACGUGAGAAACUACGAACACCACAAUGGAAGAUUUUUGAGUUUCCCUAUAUAUAUAUAUAUAUGUAUAUAUAUAUAUAUAUAAUUUUUUAAGAGAAAUGCCACUUGUACAACUAGGUGUAAAAUUUAUAUGUUAGUCUUAUGGUUGUUGAAUAACUUAUUAAAAUAUAAUAACUAAACUAAUGUAGUAUAUAUUUACGAGUUAAGUAACUUAACUAAUUAGCUAAAUAAUUAAUUGUACUUAACUAAUAAAAUAAUUAUUUAAAUUAUUAACUACUUAAUGCACUUCUCGGCUGAUUAGUACUUUGUAUAAUUUUUAUAGUUAAUUAACUAAUUAAAUUGCAUUAUAUAUUUCUUUGAGUAAUAAAUUAAUGCUAAAGAAUUAGCCAAAUUAUUUAUAUUUUAGAAUUAUUGAUACUCGUUAUCCUCACUAUUUUAAUUUAACUAUUUAGAAGUUUACUUUUUAAAUUUUUUAAAAAAAUUGUAUGAAAAAUAUAAAAUUAGUACAUCCGUAUUAUCCAAACCAAAUACCCAAAGUCAUCUUGCACCGUUAGUUUUAACACCCGUACAUCGCUGUGAAUGGAAAAAAAGAAAAGAAAACAAAAUUACUCCUGGACGUAUCCCAUUGGUUAUCGGUCCCCUUGUGAAUUUCCACAACUACCCCUAGAGCUCCACGAAAUUUACGACGCACCGUAACUGCAAGACACGUGGCACUCUCGGAGUGGCUGGAAAGAGGCCCAGCCUCGUGGGGUGCGGGGACUGCGUACGGAGGCGCUCUGGGGACGGGUGACGUCACCAGUGCCCGGGAUUGCCGGGGCGGUAAUCUCACCGGCCCCGCGGUAUUUCGAUGAAAUUAUUCCCUGCACCGCCCCUUGUACUCGACAGUAAAUAUCCUAAAAUAAUAUAUAUAUAUAUAUAUAUAUAUAUAUAGAUGAAGCUACAUUGUAUUAGAAGUACAGAGCAUCUCGUGCUUCAGCUCUUUUUCGUAUGUUGCGACUUUUGAAUCGUCGAUCGUCUCCGUUAAACUUGAUCUAGAGUAUGAGGAAAUACCUAAAAAAAUAAAUUUAUAUUUUGUGCGAUAUCAUUUGCCUAGUGAUCCAGUGCUCAAAAAUCAACAAAUAUUCAACGGUUCCUGUUAGUGAGCCUUGCAAUUAACAGUGUAGAAUAUCCAAUCACGUAAUUUUGUAGAAAAUUCUUUAUACUAUAUAGAAACAGAGAACAAAUCUUGAUUUAAAAAUUUUAAUGUCAUAUUAAUACAUUUUUAUAAAUUUUUUCACCAUUAAUUUAGCCCCUUUCCGUUCACAGCAAAUGAAUCUAAAAUCAUAAAAUUAUUUUUCUAGUAUUUCAAAUACUCUAGAUCAAGUUUAACGGACCGAUCGAGAUUUCGAAGUCGCACAUCGAAAACGAGCUUGAAGCACGGAAGGCUACGUGCUUCGAUAGCAUAGAUAGCCUCACUCUCUCUCUCUCCUCUCCUCUCUCUCUCUCUCUAUAUAUAUAUAUAUGAUUCAUUAAAAUAAUCUACACCUUAUUUAGUUAAUUCGCGAUUAAUACGCGAAUUAUUCCGUAUUAUUUAACAUACGAAUUAAACCGUCUUUUUCGAUUUUCCAAAAAAUACGAAAAAAACGCGAUCUUUUCAUCAAAAAUGAUUAUCGCGAAUUAUUCGCAUUUCGUGAAUAAUUCGCCCAAAAAUCGGCGACAGCGACUCGUGGCCGAGGGUCGCGUCGUCUCCGAUCUCGUCUCGCCCGCUCUCGUCACCGCCGCUCUCGUUGUCGCCGCCUCGUCACCGCCUCGCGUCGUCGUCGUCCUCGCCGCCCUCCGCCUCGCCGGGACAAGGCGCGGUGCCGAUCCAAUCUCCUCGCCCAAGGUCGUCCGCAGAAAAAAAAAAGAAGGAACAGUAAAAAUCGGAGCUUUUGGGAGAAAUUGAUGUGCGCGGUCAACGAGGCUAUUUCAGCCUCGUGGACCGCAUGAGCGGGCAGUGGACCUCCCUCUGUGUGUGUAUAAAAUUUUAUUUAUAUAAUAUAUAUCAUUUAUAUAUAUUUAUUUAUUUUAUAUAGAAAUAUUUAUACAUAUUUUGUUAUAAAUUAUGUAAUUAUUUAUUAAUAUUUUUAAAUAUAUAAAUUAUUGUAUUAUUAAUAAAGUUAUUAUUAAUAAUGAAUAAUAUUUAAUCUAUAUAAAAAAUUAUAAUAAUAAUAUAUAUAGUAUAUUAAUUAUUAUAUUAUUUUUUAUAUAGCCGAAUUUUGAUUCGCGAUUUUUAAUUGGUGAACGUUAAAUAUCCGUAUAAAUCACGUUUCCGAAUAAUACCGAAUCCGUUUUUUAGCCGUAUUUUUAACGAAUUUAAAAAUUAAAAGACGAAUUUUAUCCGAAUUAUACCCGUACGAAUUUUUGCCGAAUCCAAUUAACUAAUUAUGAUUACACUAGCUAACAAACACAUACGCAUAAUUACAUUUUUCUAGGUAUCGUUUGGUUCGGGAAUAAGCAAAAAGUGACUAUUCCGGAAAUAGGUAUUAAAUUAAGGUAUAAGCAGGGAUUAGAUCAAUUUGCGUUUGAAUGAAAUUGGCUUAUUCUUGGAUUAAAAAAAAAAUAACUUUGUUAGGUAGAUAGAAUAAGAAGAUAGUAGUUUUUAUAAAUAAAAAAAAUCAUAUUAUCUCUUAUAUAUUUAAAUUUAAAUUUUUAAUUUCAAACUUUAAAUUUAAAGAUCAAAUUUAAUUAAUAAAUAUAAAAUAUCAAAUUUUAAAUUUCAAAAUUAAAUAUCAAAAUUAAAAUUUAAAUUUAUAAUUAUAAUUUAAUUUUGAGAUUUAAAUUAUAUAAUUUUAGAAAUUUAAUAUUUAAUUUUAAAUUUUUUAAAAUAAGAAUAGGGGUGGGAACAAUUAAUAAAAAUAAUUUAUUAUAAUAAAUUUAUAAUUUUUUUAAAAAAUUCUACUUAAACUUAAAUUUAAUAAAAAGAAUUUAUUAUAACAGUUAAAUAUAAUUUAUUAUAAAUUUUAUUAUAAUAUUUAAAUAUAAAUAAUAUGUAUUAAUAUAGUAUAAUUAAUAAUUUUAUAAUAAAAAUAAUGUAUUAUAAUAUAUAAUAUAUUAUAUUUAUAUACUUUAGUUUAAUUCAAUUUAUAAUUUUAAUUAAGUUUGAAAUUAAGCAUUGGAAUAGCGUUAUUCCACUAAAAUGGUAGAAUAACAAAUUCCUUGCUAUCUUGGGAUAAUCGGGAAUAGCAAGGUUUGACCGGGAUAAAAUAUCCCGGCCAAUUUUCAUCCCGUUUGGCGGAAUAGCAGGGUCAACUUUCUUUAUUCCCACUUAUUCCCCCAACCAAAUGGGCCCUAAUAAGUUAAAUUUUCAUUCAAAAUUUCUAUCAUAAAUUUUUAUAAAAUAAUGCUACUAUUUUCUGCUAUCUGUUUUAUUUAUUCUCAAUAAAUAAAAUUUUACAAAUAAAAUUAGUAUAGAAUCUAAAGCAGAUAAAAUUCAAAUUAAUUUAAAACUUCAAACACUAAACAUUUAAUAGAUGUUGUUAAAAUAAAAAUUAAACUCGUAGUAAAAUAUUUAUGUAUCCGAAUAGGAACAUCCAGAACAUGCAUGUGCACGAGAUACACGUAUACGUGCGGUGUAGAAACAAUUUGUGAUGUGUCUCCGUAUCUUUUGCUUGUGGGGAGUGGUUUCACCGAUUACCGAUGAUCCCCUCCUCCACUUAUUCUGACUUAGAUUGUACGGACCCUUCUGUUCUUUUUUGUCUUUUAUCUCUCAACAAGUAUAAUUUAAACUUUUUUUUUAAAAAAAAAAAUAGUUAAUGGUACUUGAACAACAAUAUAUAUUAUUAUUAUUAUUAUAUAUUUGUAGGGGGGAGGGGGAGAGAAAAUGAAAAAAAAAAAAAUUACGUAAAAUUUGGGAGAGCAAUGAUUAGAGGGGGGUGUGGCGGGUUCUGCGAGACUCGAAAUACGAGGCGUAGGAUUUUAAAAGAGAGGAGGAGAUAAAGGGAAGAUCCCUCGGGGCUCAGUGAUAUGACGUCGCCACCGUGCGAGAGAUCAGUUCGUGCACCCGGUCUAUCCUUACAUGAUCCUGUACACCAUAAUAUUCGCAAGAAAUUUAUCUAAAUUAUUCAUGUUCUUGGAUCAGUUACUCAAUAUUUAUAAAUUUUAAUUUUACAAUCCAAUAUUUAAUUUAUCUAAUUUGAGUCUGUCAGCAGUACUUUAGUUUUUUUAAUCUAAACUAAUUAUUUAUUUUAAUAAUUUUAUAAUUUUAAAUUUUGCAUGAUAUACAAAAUUUAAAGUCAAAGUGUCGUCGACUGAUUCAAAUCAAUAAAUUAAAAUUUUUAAAAUUGGGCAGACAAAUUAAAAUGGUCCAUAAUUCAUAUUAGUUUUAUACAUUAUUACUUAUUUGUAACAAAAUAUAGUUAGAGUAUUUGUUUUCUCAUUUCCGAUGGAUGAUGGAUAUUGUUAAAUAUGAUUUACAUCAUUCCAACUUUAUAAAUUUAUUAUAUAAUUAUAUAAUAUUUUAUUUAGUGAAUGAGUGAUUUGGAAUUUGCUUUACCUUGUCUCUUAAAAUUCAUCAUUUUUGUAAUUACUAAAUUAUUUGACAUAUGAUGUUAAAUAAUUAUAUAUUUUUUAAAAGACAUACUCUAACUUAUAUAUAUUAAAUCAUCAAUUUGGAUACUUCAUCACCGUAAACAACAUGAAAGUAAAGAUAUCCAUUUUACUUUGUAAAGUAUUCCGUUUUUAUUUAGUUUUUGAAAUUUAUGUUUUAAAAUUACAAUAAGAUCCAGUAAAAUAGAUUUUUAGUAUCUAAAGCAAGACUAUGACUACUAUACUCUUAUACUCUUAUGAACAUAGACUUUUUUAUAUUCAUAAAUUUUCGAUCGUUCGAUAAAGGAAUGUGCUAUCAAGAUAACAAUAGUAUUCAAUUAGAAUGAUAGUGGUUUUUUUGCGUUGAAUUGGUGAUUUGUUGAAUAGUAUGAUGUAACGGGUGGAAAUUAUCAAAAGGAUAGAUUUAAUGGCCGAAAACUUAUGAAUAUAAAGAAAUUUAUAUAUACUCAUAAGUGUAUAGUAACCUGACUCCUAAAGUAAUAUAUAUUUUACAAAUUGACUAGAUAAAAUAUAUUUAAUUCGAAAAGAGAAUGGUAUAAUAAUUUUUAUAAAUUAUACACUAUACAUUUUAGAUACACUGUAUGUGAUAAUUAAAUACACUGUAUAUCUUCUAAAAUAUCGCACCUCUAUAUUUUCAGAUCUAUUAUAAUAGAUAAUAAUGAGAAAUUUUUCACAACAGUACCUCAAGCAGAAAAAAUUCUAAAAUGUAAUAUUUAUAUUGUUGAAUGGUAUCCCUAAUCAAUCAAAUUGCUUUUUUGAAAUUCACUCAUCCCAUCAUGAUAUUCGUAAAAAUAUUUUUAUUCUAAUUUUUUUUUUAAAUAGAGAAGAUAUAAUUAGUUGGGAAUAGAUGAAGCGGUGUAAGUAUUAUACACUAGAUUUUCUGUUUGGGGCGACACACGGAAAAUUUAUGCUAAUGUAUGGUGCGCCGGGUGCAUGCAAUAAUUUUGUUUUAUUAUUAGUGGGUAAGGUGCACCCUCUUUUUAGGGAAAAAAAUUAUGCAGUGUGACCGUGAUAUGUCACGUCCGUGACAUCGAGUCGUGGGCCCCGCAUGUCAGCGUGAUAAGAGUUUGAGUGCGCCCGGGCCCGGGGCCCCGGUGGGGGCACCGAAUUAAGUGCGCGAGGCCGUCCAUUUCAUGGGGCGAUCUCUGAUUGGACGGGUGGGAUUUGAUAUUCCUGGUUGUACUUGUUUGAGUGGAAACGGGGGGUGGGGGGAGGAGGAGGAGGAUGAUGAUGAUGGGGAAGGGGGAUUUACGGCCGUCAAAUCGUGAUUGGACGGAUGAGAUCUUAUGCGUGUCGUGAUUCUUGGGACGCGGUCAAAUUUUAUUCCCCUCCUCUCCUCCAGUGGCAGUGCAGUGGCCUCGAAAUUGUUCUUCCCUGUCAACUCAUCAGCUGCAGAUCACGGCAAGCUUAUUUUAAAUUGGUCCGAAUGACUUCGGAAUUCCCACCAUUUUUUUGUUUUGUUUUGUUUUGUUUUGGAUUGUUCUUAUUUUAUGUCCGAAAAUAUGGGUUCCACGAUAGCACAAAAAUUUUAAAAAACAAAUUUAAUUAAAUUUAAUAUAUAUUAUUAAAAAUAUUUAAAAUUUAAAUUUUAUAAUUUUUUGAUAUUAUUUAUCAAUUAAAUGAAUAGUCUAAAAAUCAACACUUUAGAGCUUGUCAUUAUAUGAUGGUUUGCACGUAUGACAACUCAAAGAAAAAGUACGUGUCACACAAUAUUUGAGAUAAAAUUUUUAAUGAACGUUAUAAUAGUAAGAUGAUAAUAAAAGAAAGGGCUAAUUUUAUAUAGAUUUAUAGGUAUAUUAUUACAAAUUUAACUUUCAUAUAUUAUUUAUGUAAAAAUUAUGAUGAUUUUAAAUAUGUUUAUCUAGUUUUUUACUGUUAAAAUACUGUUUAUUUUAUAAGUGACAUGAUUUUUUUACCAUCACUAAUAUAUUUCUUCAAAAAUUUCAACUGUUAAUUAAAGAGGGCAAAAAUAUCAAUUCAUCUAAUUAAUUAACUACGGUUAAUUAAAUUUAAUCUACGAUUAACUAAAUUUUUUUAUCGAAUUCUAACAGUAGGGAUAUAUUUAUAAUUUUCGAUAUGAAAUUAAUUCUAAAAGAAAACUCACCGAUUGAGCUGAAUUGGGUUGGAAGAAAAUGGCGAAAGUGUAGCCAAUCCCAAUGACACGUUAAACAAGCACGGCGAGAAUAAUAUAGUUGUCUAAUAUUGAUGAAAAAUAUAGAGAUAUAAACUAUCCGCUUGAGCAGUGUGUCACGGACAAAAUAUUUUUCGCUGACUUCUUCUUGACAGGGACCUAAUCUUCGAAGGAGUGUUCUGUCGAAAGUUUUGCUGGGGCGUUCUAAAAGCUUCUACGCAGAUUUCAAGAUUGAUGGUGCGAAUACUGAAAGGUCAAGAGUCCCUUAGAGUUUAUAGAUGACAAUAAAUGUAGUCUCUUGGAAGGACGUAGCAUCUCUUUUUUGCUUUGUAGUUAUGCGUUACUUUACGUCUUUUCAUUUGUAAUCUGCAUGGUGAGUCGACUAUAUAGGGAUGUGGCCUCCACCCCCUCUUAUUAGUAAAUCAGUUGUACUCUUAACUUCUAUCAAUAUACAAUAUUUCUCAAACUCUCUUUCUCUUGUAUUUAGUCAUAUGACGAGUAGGUGCUGACUUAGAAAGAUAGACUUGCUCACUUUGCGAAAGAAGACGAGCGCUGUAUGGAUUUGACGAGCGAUUUCGCUUAAGUCCGUGACAAGUGUGUGGAAAUGGUCGAUAGCAUCUUUCGAGAGAAAAUAGGCCAGCGAACUCAUUCCAGAGGUUCUCAUGAUCUAUCUCCCUCAAGUAAUGCAACUUCUCAAGUGAGAACGAUCUCAAAGCUCCGAUCUUGCACAAGCUUGAGAGCUGCGCCAACACAAAUUUGUCUAAGCAAAGAGUGAAUGCAUUUCUGAAAAUGUGUUUUUGUGAUCGAUCACUAACGUAAUUUAACAAUUUGAUCUGAUAAUACAAGGACAUUUGUCAAUAUUAACAGGACAAUGGUAGUGGACAAUGGUAGUUAUUAGGUGGAGUUGGAAUACUAUAAUAGUUGAGAAAAUUAAAAUAAUCACUCAUUAGGGACAAUGUAAACCAAGAACACCAAGAAUUUAUAAAAGAUUAAAAGGGCCUUUACGUAGUAGUGUACUAACAUGAGUGUGUUGGUCUACAGGAUGACGUGGUGCACGAUGUCUCGGCAAUGUCUCGCCAUGGUCGAGUCAAAAUGGUCUCAACGGUCUACAAGAUUUAAUGCUAAUAUAUAAUAUAGGAAUCCUAAAUAGGCCCAGGCCCAGUAGGGGAUUUUAACGGGCCGGAUCCGGGCUCAACUCAUUAGGCCCGCUAACUUCUUCUCACCGUGUGAUAUUUUGUGGGAUAUUUGUGUGCAUGCGUAUCUUUGACUUUUGUGCAAUAUCAAGUUUCUAAAUUUCUACUACUUUUUUCCAUCAGAAAAAUUUAAAUCACGGAAAUUAUUUAGCAAAAUAUUAGUAUAUAUGAUUUGAUAAAUCAGUAUUUAAAAUGUUUGAUUUUUAAAAUUUUUAUUAUUGCUAAUUUGUUUGUAGUAGAACCGCACUAGCUACGAAGAAAAUAAAACAAGGAAAAGAAUAAUCAUAUACAGUAUUUUUCGUUCUCUUGUUCCGUCAUUUAUUUAUAAUUAAAAAAAAGCCAAUAGUAUCAAAAAUAUAUUUAUCUCUCAAAAAAAAAAAGUAUCAAAAAUAUUCUUAUACAAGAGGUUCUGAAUAAUGAUAUGGAACGAAAUUUUAUGAUAGCUUUUAUGCUUUUAAAAUUCAAAAACUCAACCUAAUUUUCUCCACAAUAAAACUUUUAUAUUCUGCUACUUUUAAGUGAAAAACUUGCGUAGUAUUAUUGCUCCAUCGACAACCCCAUUUUAAUUAAAAUUAUGCUUAGUUCAAAUUUGAUCUAAUCUUAUUUACUGAAAAAAAAAUUAAAAAUCUUAAAUUUAAUAAAAUUACUUAUAAAAUUCUUUACUAAAAUUAUUUAACUCUGUAAAAAAAAAAAAAGAAGGAAGAAGCUGAGGAGUUUUCAUACCAAAAAGAAAGUGGCGAGAAUUAUUUCAAAAUGUUCAAAUAGUUGGGGGGUCUCCGUCCAUUUUGACCUAAAAACUUUAAAUAGAACGGGGAAAAAAGCGAAAGCUUUAUCCCUCUCUUUUGUAGUUUUGUUACUCGCGUCACACUUUUCCUCUUCCCGUACCCUUGUCUCCUCGUUUCCACGAAGCUCCUCCCCCCUCUCUUGUGAGGGUUUUUUUGGAUCCAUUUGUUAAUCCAUUUCUCUCUCUCUCCCUCUCUCUCUCUCUGUGAGCCUCUGGAGAUUGCUCUUGGACACGCUACAAGUUCAGAGAGGCAAAUAUUUCCAUAUAAAGAGAGGUACUUUUUUGAAUCUGUUGUUGGAUUCAUCUUUUUUUACCAUUAAUUUCGACUGUAUUUGGUUUGAAAAAGAUAUAUUUUUUGAGUUGUAACGGAGGAAAAGGAGGUUGUUGACCCUCUAGAAGCGAUUUGUAGAAGGAUGAAGCAUUUGGCGUUGGAUUCACUUUUGUUUACCAUUAAUUUCGGUUGUAUUUGGUUUAAAAAAGACAUCUUUUUUGAGUUGUAACGGAGGAAAAGGAGGUUGUUGACCCUCGAGAAGCGAUUUGUAGAAGGAUGAAGCAUGUGGUGUUGGAUUCAUUUUUGUUUACCGUUAAUUUCGAUUGUAUUUGGUUUAAAAAAGAUAUCCUUUUUGAGUUGUAACGGAGGAAAAGGAGAUUGUUGACCCUCUAGAAGCGAUUUGUAGAAGGAUGAAGCAUUUGGUGUUGGAUUCUUAGUUUGGGACCAUAUAAUUGCUGUUGCCCUUAAUAUGUAAAGUGUCUAUUGAGGGCUAAGGCAUAGUAGGCCUCCCUUCUGCUUCUGCUUCUGCUUCUGCUUCUGCUUCUUCUUCUGCUUUCAGUAGUAGCAGUGUGCAGUACACCAGUUGGUAGAAAGAAAUUAUGAAGCCUUCUGCUGCAGCGGGGAGCAGAAAUGAGAUUCUCAGCCUCAAAAAGUAGAAGUUCAAGUUUGUCGGUUCUGAUUUUACUGCAGAGAGAAGCUGUUGGAGCCAUCUUAAUGCAGUGCUUCUCCCAACAACACUACUCAAACAACACUUACAUAUCAAAAUUUGUGUUAAGACAAAUCCCGCGUCAUUUUCUGCUAGAUCAAAAUUUCCGGUAACAUGGUAUCAGAGCCAGUACUAAACUUCCUUCGUUCCAAGAGAGGUCCUAAGUUUGAUUAUCACAUCUUAUGAUCUUUUGGAUGACUAUGUUUUUCAUGUUCUAUGAGAUGGAUGGAAAUUUUGUUUCUUUGUCCUUCGAACUCUUUUUCAGUGACAGAAGAAGGUGAAUUCUAUUUUUAUUCGUAAAUGAGAAGUCCGCUAAUUCAUACUAAACAAAGUAAUUCACAAUGUAUCAUUUUGUGAUGUACAAAUAAUUAUGAUAUGACAUAUAGUAAAUAUCAGAAUUUUCUUCAGGAAGUUUUGUGGCUAAUGCUUAUAUUAAUGUAUUAGAUGGGGAAUGAUAAAUUAUGUGUUUGUGGGUAGCGGCUUGUGUCCAAAUUUGUGUACACUACUCCCUAUUAAUGAUUCCUUUACUACCGACCAUCUCUAGUGCAAGUGGCGAAGGGCUUGAUGGUUGGUACCUGAGGUCUCAAGUUCGAAACCUAUUUACUUCACAUUUCGAACAAAGUUUAUUUGUAAAAAAAAUGAACGAAACAGGUAGCAUGCUACCUCUCUCUCUCUCUCUUUCAAAAAGAAGAAGAAGAAGAAGAUUCUUUACUCAUGUACUUCUCUGAUAUUAAACCAUAAAAUUUAAAAGCAUCUCUUUUCUUGACGCUUUCUUUUGAUGUAACUUCUUUGAAUGUUUUUACCGCUCCAUGCAAUAGUUAUUAUAAAAUUUUUCUCUUUCUCAUUGCUGAAAAUUGUUUUGCAGAAAAAGCAAAGAAUUAAGAAGGGGACUUGGGACUUGUAUAGUAUGGUCAUGUGGUGCUUCAGAUUCUUAAAUGGAGAGGCAAAGGAAUUCUUGGAUCAUGAUGUUAGGGCAUCGGGGUCGAAGGCGAGCUCUCUAGAAGUAUCCGACAGGAGUACAGAAACCCCAACAGGGUCUAAGUAUCCUGGCUUCCCCCAAAGGCCGAGCAAUCUGAGAAUUUUCACAUUCUCUGAAUUGAAAAAUGCCACAAAGAAUUUUAGCCGCUCGCUUAUGGUUGGAGAAGGCGGUUUUGGUUGCGUGUACAGAGGUUCAAUCCGGAGCCCUGAGGAACCGCAUGGCAGGAUAGAGAUUGCCGUAAAACAAUUAAACCGUAGUGGGAUGCAGGCAAGCUUCCUUUAAUCUUUUUUCUUGUUAUUCUAUAUUUUCUUCUGCAUUAUGUAUGUCGUAGCUGGUUGACAUUGGCUUGUAGAAAAGAGAAAUAUAUUGCUGAUUACGGGAUAUAACUUCCUUUGCCAGAUGUGUUCUUGAGCAAGGAAUUAGGCUCAAAUUUAUAGAAUGUUUGAGCAAGAUAGACGGCUGGUUGUUGAGUUUCCAAAUUUUCCAUGGAUACUUAUUAAUAUAGAUGCGCCCUAACCGAAUUUGGAAAAAGUCUUCUGGAAUAAUGAUAAUUGUUACUGUUGUUAUUCUUUGCGGUUGUUGCUUUUAUUAUUGGCAGUUUGUCAAACUAUGUAACAUCUUAUGGAGUAAACGACAAUACCUAUAAAAGUGAGUCAACUUGUAGGCGUUCUUAAAGGACAAACUCUUUUACUUCUACUUUUGGUCACUUGUUCAAAGCCAUUCAUGGUUAGCAGAAUAUCUUUAGGUCAUUGUUGACUCUUUUAACAAUUUCCUGUAGACUUGCAUGUCUAGCUUGUCUUACUUAAACUCUUAAUGUCAACAAUGAGUCGAUGCCUGGAAUAGAUGCCAAAAAGUUUGGUGAAUGAGACAUGUUCCUAUAUGCCUUUUUUUAUCAAUUUUUUUUAUUAUUUAUUCUGCAACAGGGCCACAAGGAAUGGGUGACUGAAGUAAAUGUUCUUGGAGUGGUUGAGCACCCAAAUCUUGUAAAGUUAAUAGGCUAUUGCAUUGAAGACGAUGAACGGGGGAUGCAACUUCUUCUUGUUUAUGAAUAUAUGCCUAAUGGAAGUGUAGAGGAUCAUUUGUCUAGUCGAUCAACUAGAACUCUGUCAUGGGGCAUGAGGCUGAAGAUAGCGCUUGACGCAGCUCGUGGUUUGACAUACCUGCAUGAAGGGAUGGAUUUUCAGGUAUUUCAUUUCCUUCCUCCUAUAAUCUUCCUGACGUAAUCUGAUAUAAUCAAACGAGUUAAUUUGUGUAGUGCAUGUUUUUGCUUGGCUUGUGGAAUGACUUCUAUACUAAAGAAGCAGCUGUCAAGUGUUCUGCAGCCAAAAGUCUAGUGCUUUUGCACUGGAGGGAAGCUGAAAUCAGCUUUUCUUUUGCUUAUACCAAGCGGAAGUUGUUGAUAUGAUACUAAGGGAAAAGCUUUUAGUGCUUUGUGAAACGACUCUACUUAAAUAACACUUUUCCAGAAGCUACAACUGGGCCAAGUUGGCACUUGACGCUAAUUUAUUCUAACCUUGAGAGUUGAGAACUACGGUGGUGAAUCUAACGUAUUCAUACAGAUUAUUUUUCGAGAUUUUAAAACAUCCAACAUUCUCUUGGAUGAGAAUUGGAACGCAAAGUUAUCGGACUUUGGGUUGGCCAGACAAGGACCAGCAGAGGGACUGAGCCAUGUUUCAACAGCGGUAUGUAGGCAUGAAGUAAUCUCUGCACUUUGUUUCUUGCAGUGUCUUGUGCAUUGAUAGAAUUAAUAGCACUUCAGCUUUCUUCCUGUAAAUUCUGUAUUUUUGCAUUUACACAGCUUAGUAGAUGAUCAUGAAUAACUGCUAACUCUCUGCAUAUUUUGGCUAGAUUAUGUUUUUGUGGUUAGUAAUUCUCAAGUGUAUAUAUAUAUAUAUAUAUAUAUAUAUACUAGUGAAUUACCCGCGCGAUGCUGCGGAUAUAAAAUUUCUUUUAUAAUAAAUUUUAUUUUUUAAAUAUUUUUAUAUAGUUUUAUAAGUCUAAUUAUUAAUUAAAUAAAAAUUAUAUAAAAAUAAUUUAAUAGUUAAAUCUAUUUAAAUAAAAGUCAUUAAAAUUGGUAUAUGCCGAAAGUAAAUUUAUACAAUUAUUUAUUUUAUAAAAAUUUAUAUGAAAAGAAUUUGAGAUAAAUCUAUCAAAAUAAUUUUAUUAAAAAAUCAAUAAAUAGAAGAAAAUUAAAAUUGUAAAUGAAAUUGUUUAAUAAAAUUAAUUAUAUAUACACAGAAAUACAUUAUAUUUCUAAAAUUUUACUCCUAAAAUUUAAAUACUAUAUUUUUUUUUAUACAAUGAUAUUUUAUGUGAUUUAAAUUGUAUCUAUCAGGUUAGAUUAAUUUUAUUACGUGAUUUCAUUAGCGUAAUUAUUAAUAAAUUAAAUUAAUUAUAAUUAAUAAUGUUAAUUAGCUAUUAAUAAUUAGAAUUUAAAAAAUAAAUUAAAGAAUAUUAAUCAAACUUAAAAUUAAAAUUUAGGAUUAGAAUCAAACAAAUUUUAAAUUUUAAAAUUUUAAAAAUUUGAAAGUAUCCAAAAACUUAAAUAUUUCAAUAUAAUUUCUAAUUAACUAGAUAGCGCUUAUAACAAUUAUUAAUCACAAAUUAUAAUAUAUAUAUUAUAUAUAUAUCUGUUGGUAGUGUGUGUGUGCUGUGUUUUGUGAUAGUGUGUGUGUGGAAGUGGAGAGUUGGGGGACGGUGUCAUACGCAUAAGGUUGCCCAACCUCCUUAAUUGUAAUAGAAUAGAUAGAUUAUCUCUAUAUAUAGAGAGAGAGAGAGAUGAAUUAGGUAAGCUAUAAUAAGCUAUAAUACACAAAACAAGUGUGGGGCUAUAGGUUUUCCGCUUCUUGGAUUAACGGUAUGCUCGCGAUUACGGAUGACAAUGAUGCUCUCUGCGGCUUGAGUCGGGGGUGGUCGUGGUUCCUCCGAAUAGUAAUUAUGGAUUGGUUGAAUAGUAUGAUCUAAACGGAGGAAAUGAUUCAAAGGGGAACUCAUAACAGCGGAAAACUUGAUAAUACAUAGAGUCUUGUGGCUACUUGAUGGCCAUAAGUCUGCCGGACUCUAAUGAUAUAUAAUAUAUAUAUAUAUAUAUACUAAUAUAUAUAUAUAUAUAUAUAUAUAUAUAUAUAUUCACCCGUUGAUGUUUUUUGUUUCAAUGUAUGCAUAAUCCAAAUAGUUGGAUUAUUUGUUCCAAACAGGUAGUUGGAACUCUAGGCUAUGCAGCUCCUGAAUAUAUGCGAACCGGUCGCCUCACCACCAAAAGUGACAUCUGGAGCUACGGCGUCGUCCUCUAUGAGCUCAUAACAGGCCGCCGUCCAAUAGAUCGAAACCGCCCGAAGUGCGAACAAAAGCUCUUGGAAUGGGUCAAACCCUACAUUUCUGAUGUGAAAAAAUUCCGCAUUAUCUUAGAUCCACGGCUAGACGGAUAUUACACCCUAAAAUCAGCAACUAAACUUGCUACUAUAGCAAAUAAGUGCCUUCUUAGGCUCCCCAAAUCUAGACCCAACAUGAGCGAGGUUUUGGGGAUGGUACAGAAAUUGGUAGAGACUUUGGACAUCGGGGAUCCACAACCGCCGCUCAUAAGUGCUUCUGAAGAAGCGGCUUCUCGAGAAGGAUGUAAAAAAGGACGAGAAUUGAAGUUUAAGAUUAGGGCAAUGAAAAUGGGAUUGGGUUGGACACUAAAACUUGUGAGGACUUGAUACCUUGGUGGUCAUGAAGAUCUCUUCUGUUUGAUCUUGAUAAAAUAACCACUUUUGUAAUUAUUACUUUUUGGCAACAUGGUUUCUUGGUUCUGGCGUGCAUGGUUGGCUAACAGGUGGAAACACGACGAACGGGCUAACAGGCGGAAACACGACGAACGAUACCGCCUAUCCGUGAUAGGCGGUGUAGCUUGGAAAUCUGUAGAUUUUCCUGUCCUUGUUAGAUAUGAUUGACUGAAUUGGUGUCCUUUAGAUUCUUUUUUUUUUAUUUAAUUUUUUCCCUAUUUUUGGGGGCUUUGUUUCCUGUGGUGAAAUGAUCAAAAGUGAUAUGUGUCUCUACAUUUGAUUGGUCUUACAAGGAUAUAUGUUCUUGUAUCACAAGUUCGGUCUCGCGGAAUAUUGGAUGGGUUUAUUUGGGGGUCGAUUGCUUCAUUUUAUUGUUUGUUAUUUUUUGAUUGUUGACUAGUGGUUGAUUGAUUAUUCAUGAUGAUUAAACUUUGCAGUUGAUCUGUGUUUUUCUUUGGUAAUUAUACACCUAAUAGUUUAGGCUACGUUUGUUUGGUGAAUUGUUGUUUGAGUAGAGCUAAUAGGACAACUCAGACAACUUUGUUCUAUAGUAUCAUCAGUAGUACUGAAUUGACGCUCCUGUUUUUGAGCUUCAUAAUUUUAUCUUUGUUUUUGAUAAUGUUAAAUAUAAAACUAUUUAAACACCGUUCUCGAUCGGCUUAAGUUUUUAGAGAAUAAUUGUUGUUUUGUAUUAUUUUAUGUGGUAUCAGCAAAGGUCCUGAGUUUAAACUACGUCAGACUCUUUGCAUUAUUAUUAUUUUUUCAUUUAAUUUAAGUUUACGUCAUUGGUCUUGCGAAAAGUUUCGAACUCAGACGCGAAGGAAAGCGUUAAAUAAAAAAAAAUUUAAAUAUUAUUCUCUACAAGCUUAAGUUUUGAGAGAAUAAUUGUUUUUUUUUUUUUUUUUUUUUUUUUUUUUUAGAGAGAGAUAGGUAGCACGUUAUCCGCUUCGUUUAUUUCAUUUAGAAAUAAACUUAGCUGGAAAUGUGAAUCAAUUAAGAUUCGAAGUUGAGUCUCGGGUGUCAACCAUCAAGCCUUUUGUCACUUGCUCUAGGGACGGUCGGUGAGAGAAUUAACUGUUGUUUCGUAUUAUUUAACAGAUAACAGCGGACCAAACGUUCUAUCGGGGACUGCUGCUGCUGCUGCUGCUGCUAAAAGCAGGAGAAGAAUAGCUAGGCAUUAUUUGGGAUGCAACAAUGGUAUAAUGGACUGCUAAUCAACAGCAGAUUGAAAUGACUAGAGCUUGAUUUCCCGCAUUCCUUGCAGGCAACAAGCCCUGAAAAUGGUGAUGGUGAAGCUGAUGACAAAACAAAGAAACUUGCAGAUGAAAACUAGGGUUUACUGGAACAAAGUGGUGAAAUCAUGAGUCUAUCAAUCAACAGAAACAUAACAUGCAGAAAAGCGUCAGGAAUUUUUGACAUGAUUACUAGGAUCCAAACUUGCUCUGCAUCUCUUUGUCCACAAAUGAACAUUGCCUCCAUAAGUCAGUGACAUGUAAAUAUUCCUUCUGAAGCAUCCCCACCACUUGCCAACAAGAUUUCUGUCCUCUUAGGUAAGCCCUGGUACUCAAACCAUGUGAAGCUUCCUCCCGUUGUGCCGAUUAUUUAUGCCCUAAAUCUGUUCCAAGCUUAGAUUUAAGUUUUCGAGGCGCGCAAGGAUUUGAAAGCAUGUAGUUGAUCUUACUGAAAAACGGCACUCGUUUCGACGCUAGAUUCGGAACUUCUGCAGAAUUGCUGUUUGAGAAGAGCGGUUUGGACGAGCAGGGCAUCUCCUCAACGUCGCUCUCUAGUCUGCUUUUAGAACCGAAAAGCUUGUUUGAGUUUAAACACAUAAUUUUGAGAGUGGACUAUGCUGCAGAAGUCAAAUCAAACAGACACUUGCCACUAGAGAAUGACACGAGGCCUAGUGUUAGGUGAUCUAGUUUGCCUUAUUUCUAACUCGAGGCGUGCAUUUGUAGCGUGAAAGUGAAGUGAGAUAACAUAGAAUGAGAAAAUAAAACAUUAAUUACACGCGUUCUUUUAGGUGUAACAGAAAGUUAGGAAACUGCAACUUGGACCACUACUUUCUUAGCCCUUUCUUUUGAGUGCAACUGCGUAUGAUUAUGACUAUCUUAAACGGUCCUAAUUAUACAGAUUCUGAGCUUGAUAAGGACUAAAAUACCCAUGAAAAAUAUUAUUUCAUAUAUUUCUUCUUAUGUUGUUUGUUUUCACAAAAUUAAAAACUUCAUUCACCCACCCUGAAGACUAAAGAAAGAGAUGUAAAUGGAAACAUAGAAGCAACAGCUAAAACCACUAAUUUCGUCCUUUUAAUAAAGUAAUUAAAUAACCGACUGUCCCUGGCACAUGUGGUAAAGGACUUGAAGUUUGAAUUUUAGUCGAUUCACAUUUUCAGCUAAAUUUAUUUUUAAAAGAAAUAAAUGAAGCGGAUAACAUGUUAUUUAUUUAUUUUUAAAUAAAGUAAUUAAAUACAUAUAUA
rnacentral:lncRNA from 1 species